rnacentral:lncRNA from 1 species
UAAAAUUGGGUAAUUGGGAAAUAUCAAAAUAUGGUUUGUUUAAACUGUGAAAAAAAAAAAAAAAAGAUAAAAUAUUUCAAUCACUAAAGAAAAUAAUUUAACUAACUCGAUGUUGUAGGUCACGAGAAGCGUUGACACGGAACGCGGUCAACUAAGUCAACAGGAAAGGAAAACUGUCGAAGCAAUUGUGAAAGCUAGGUACUAUUUGUGAUGUCUAGUUUCGUAAUUUUACACAUGUGGUACUAUUUCUGAAAUGUUUCUUUCGUGACUUUUAGUGAGUACCCGUUGUCAAUAAUUCUAGUUGGAGUUGGAGAUGGACCAUGGGACAUGAUGAGGGAAUUUGACGAUAAUAUCCCUGCCCGAUCUUUUGACAAUUUUCAGGCAAGUUUUUAGCAAAUGUCAUUACAUUUGUUAGUUACUUGUUUUUUUUUUUUUUUUUUUCUAAAUUCUCUAUUGAUUUAACCUUUUUUUUUUCCAUUUUAGUUUGUGAAUUUUACAGAAAUAAUGUCAAAGAAUAUCGAUCGGUCUAGGAAGGAAGCGGAGUUUGCUCUUGCAGCCUUGAUGGAAAUACCAGCACAGUACAAGGCAACAUUAGAGCUCAACAUUUUAGGGUAACCUUCUGCUUAUUUUUAAACAGAAAUUAUUUAAUUGCAAGAAAUAGCCCUUUAAACAAAUAAAUGAAAAUACAUUGUUAUUUCUUAGAUUUAUCCCUUUAAAGAAACCCAACAUUUGCUUUGAAUAUAUAUGAAUCAGUGGUCGUAGAGGAAAAGCCAUAGAUCGGAUAGCUCUUCCUCCACCUUGUUAUGGUUCGGUGUCUUCACGUGCAUCAUCAAAGCCAUCGGGACCCACUACCUUCCAACCCUCUUCACACUCGUUUCAAGCAAAGUCAACACCGGUCAACAAAAGUUAUGCUGGAGGUUCCUCUUCUGAUAACCAAGUAAAGUCGUUUUUUGACUGAAUCAAUUAUUGUGUAACCGAAAAUUAUUAUUAUUAUUAUUUUUUGACUGAAUCUGAAUGAGCAUUUUGAUUUUGGCAGCUUUGCCCGAUUUGCAUAAGCAACCCGAAAGAUAUGGCUUUCGGCUGUGGACACCAGGUACAACUAUGACUCUUUUUUCUUAUAAUAUGUAUAUGUUUUUUUUUUUUUUUAAUGAUUUAAUAAAUGUUUCAAGGAAUAUAAUAUGGUUUUAUUUUCUUGUGUUUUUCAGACGUGUUGUGAAUGUGGGAAAGAUCUUCUGUUGUGCCCUAUAUGUCGGGAUCAAAUAGACACAAGGAUUAAGCUUUACUGAGUGGAAUAUGAGCUUGUUUUGAGUGCUAUAUGUUAUUUAGUUUGUACAUAAUCUUAUUCUUUGUAACUGGUUUUGGGACAAAAAUGUGUGAACCGGAAUAAACCCAUUUUGUAACCGGUCUAAUUGGAUUUUUCCUAGUUCAGUUUGUAACUGGUUUCAAUUAUGGAUCGGAUCUGGAUACAAAUCGGAUGAAUGGUUUUGUUGUGCAUCUCUAAUUGGAAGAAAAAUAGAGAUUUUAGAAAGUCCAAAGUAAUACAUUUGAUAAUAGCUGAUAAUUUUAUACAGUAACAGUUGAUACUGGUUCUAUUAUCACGGAAAUAGAAAUUGGUUUUAAUAACUAGAAUAAAGCAUUCACGAAAUUUGAUUGAGAAAAAUUUCAUGGAUUUAUGACAUGCAUGAAUAGAUAAUUACCACCAAAUAAAUGAUUCAAGUAAACCUGAUGAUUACUCUUCAACUUCUUCAAAGCUUUCUCCCAUGAAACUUUAAGAGUACUGAAACCCCUAGCUUUCAUCCCCAUCUUCCUCCUUCUAAACACUUUUCUUAAACCUGAAACCUGAACCCCAACCCGCUUCUUGAUCAUCAAUCUCCGCCACAGCCGCCACCUCCUCCACCGCCGGUGUUGGUUAUGGUGGCCUUCUGCAUUUUUCAGUCUCAGGUAAUGAAACCUCCAUAGAGAAACCAACUCAUGGUCAUCCAUGAUGGAAUUGCAAGCAAAUCAAACGCUAAUGUUAGUUAAACUUGUGUAGACGUAUAUUGGGUUUUAUAUAUAUAAAGAGAGAUUCAUGAAGUUAGGUUUAUUUGGGUUUUAUGAUGAACGGAUAACGUUAAUUAGUAGCUGGAUUUUGCAGGUGAAUUAAAUGUGAUGUAUGAACUUUAUACACUAUGAUAAAAUUUGAGAGUAGUACACGAUGGAAUUUGCAGGUGAAUUAACCUGUUCUUUUUUUUUUUUUUUUUUUUUUUUUUUUUUUUUUUUUUUUGCGACCGAAUGGGAAUUUUUACUACCACUUUUGUCAUUUUGCUUCUCUUCAUAUCAUUUUGUUUAUUCUUUCAUUAGGAACAGGUUUAUAAAAAUAAAAAUUUUAAUAUAAAAUUAUAAGCAUUAUAUAAUUUUAAAGUAAUAGUUUUACAUAAAUAUAAACGAUAUAAUAAAUAAAAUAAGUAAUUUAAUAUAUACUGUAUGAAAUUUUUGAAAAACUGUAGAGCAUUUAUUAUGAAAUUUAAUAAAAUGAUCUACCUUACAUAUAUAAAUCUCACUAAAAUAAGGAUUCAAAUUUUAAGAAAAAUGAAAAACACAAGAAAAUAGAAAAAAAUAAUUCAGAAUUUUUUUGAAAAUGACAUUUGUCAAAUUCAAUAAAACAAAACAUUUGAUAAAAUUGAUUUUUAUUUAUGAAGAAUGGAAAAUUAUUUAGCAUCUUGUUUAUGAUAUUUUAAGUGUUUUGAGAAUUGAAAUGUAAACAAGUAGUCGUAAUGAAUAGUAGCGUGUAAGUUUUGAACACAAUAUACAUUUUAAUAUAUUUUUAUUAUUAAAUACUAUUUACUUUUUAAUCACUUAAUAUGUAAAAUGAUAAAAUAAAUAUUCUUGAAUUGUUAUAAAUAUACAUAUAUCUGUUUUUCUUUUUGUUGUGAUUUAUGAUAAAAAAAAAUUUAGAGACUAUUUAUCAAUAACUCUUUUAAUGCGUUAAAAGUUCAACAAUCUUUUUAUAGUGUUAUAGUUUUUUUUGGUUAUCUUAUAUUCUAUAAUUAAGUUGCGAGUUUAUUUUUUCAUCGUUACUUUCAUUUGGGGGGCGAGUUUAAUAUAUGGCAAUGUGGGUUUUUUGAGCCCCCUAAAUNNNNNNNNNNNNNNNNNNNNNNNNNNNNNNNNNNNNNNNNNNNNNNNNNNNNNNNNNNNNNNNNNNNNNNNNNNNNNNNNNNNNNNNNNNNNNNNNNNNNNNNNNNNNNNNNNNNNNNNNNNNNNNNNNNNNNNNNNNNNNNNNNNNNNNNNNNNNNNNNNNNNNNNNNNNNNNNNNNNNNNNNNNNNNNNNNNNNNNNNNNNNNNNNNNNNNNNNNNNNNNNNNNNNNNNNNNNNNNNNNNNNNNNNNNNNNNNNNNNNNNNNNNNNNNNNNNNNNNNNNNNNNNNNNNNNNNNNNNNNNNNNNNNNNNNNNNNNNNNNNNNNNNNNNNNNNNNNNNNNNNNNNNNNNNNNNNNNNNNNNNNNNNNNNNNNNNNNNNNNNNNNNNNNNNNNNNNNNNNNNNNNNNNNNNNNNNNNNNNNNNNNNNNNNNNNNNNNNNNNNNNNNNNNNNNNNNNNNNNNNNNNNNNNNNNNNNNNNNNNNNNNNNNNNNNNNNNNNNNNNNNNNNNNNNNNNNNNNNNNNNNNNNNNNNNNNNNNNNNNNNNNNNNNNNNNNNNNNNNNNNNNNNNNNNNNNNNNNNNNNNNNNNNNNNNNNNNNNNNNNNNNNNNNNNNNNNNNNNNNNNNNNNNNNNNNNNNNNNNNNNNNNNNNNNNNNNNNNNNNNNNNNNNNNNNNNNNNNNNNNNNNNNNNNNNNNNNNNNNNNNNNNNNNNNNNNNNNNNNNNNNNNNNNNNNNNNNNNNNNNNNNNNNNNNNNNNNNNNNNNNNNNNNNNNNNNNNNNNNNNNNNNNNNNNNNNNNNNNNNNNNNNNNNNNNNNNNNNNNNNNNNNNNNNNNNNNNNNNNNNNNNNNNNNNNNNNNNNNNNNNNUAUAUAUAUAUAAAAGCCCAAAAUCUAUAUCCCAAAUUCCCAAUAGCCCAAAAUUCAAAUGUUUAAUCCAUUUGAAAUUUAGCCAAGAUACCCGAUAUAAUUUAUCAUACAAUUAAUUUCAAAAACUCUUAUGAACAAUGUUUAAUAUUUAGGCGGCUAAUUACUUUUUAUCGGCUAAUAAUUUAUUUACCGACUAGGUCAUCGUUGUUCGUCGGCUUUGGCUUCAAUUUAGAGCGCCUCCUUCUCCUGGCGAUCACCUCCAACGACAUCCAAUUGGAUGUCUUCACCUCUCUAGUUCUCCUUCUCAUCCGAUCGAUUCAACCUAUACCUAAUUACCUCUGCAGAUUUCGCGCCUCUUUGGGUUCAACAAAUAACUUAAUCGAUAACAAUGUAUCUUCUACAUCACGCUUACCUUACCUUGAGUCCAAAGUAUUAUUGUUUUUUUAUCUCAUUAAUGCCAUCAUCCUCAUCCUGAGUCCUAAUUUGGCAGUGCGACUACUCCAAUUUAAGUAUUUUGGUUCGUUUUUAGUGUUCGUCGAUUUGGUGGUUAUGCCGGUUGUAGCUAUGACCGGCGUCGUUGGACCGACAAUUGAAAAUUGAGGUUAAAGAGAUCAAGCGGUCGUCCGAUUUUGGGGUUUUGUUGAAAGGCUUACUUUGGGGCCUUUUAUUAGUUAUACAGAGAUAAGACAAAACGUUCAGAAACCAAUCCGCCAGGCUUUAGAAGCUUGUGGAAGAAAGCAAAUAAUGUAACGUCAAUAAAAAUCAUGAAAAUUUUAAACGUUUAAAACCAACCCAAAAUCAUAAAUUGUUAACAACGUAUUUUCAAAACAUGUUCCAUAUCAAAGUUUUCCAAAAUCAAAAGUCAAAACAUGAAGAUAUGUACGGUCAGGCCUUCGCCUUCCCGCGAUCAUCUGAAAUACUUGAAACAUAACCUAAAACUGUAAGUCCAACACUUCGUGAGUUCCCUCAAUGUACCAACACAUAAACAACGCUUAGUGAGUUCCCCAAAUAAAAAUAACGUUAAAAAAAAUAACUUGCUUCAAAUUAUAUAUCAAAAAUAAUAACAACAUACAUUAUAAUAUUCGAAUAUAUAUAUAUAUAUANNNNNNNNNNNNNNNNNNNNNNNNNNNNNNNNNNNNNNNNNNNNNNNNNNNNNNNNNNNNNNNNNNNNNNNNNNNNNNNNNNNNNNNNNNNNNNNNNNNNNNNNNNNNNNNNNNNNNNNNNNNNNNNNNNNNNNNNNNNNNNNNNNNNNNNNNNNNNNNNNNNNNNNNNNNNNNNNNNNNNNNNNNNNNNNNNNNNNNNNNNNNNNNNNNNNNNNNNNNNNNNNNNNNNNNNNNNNNNNNNNNNNNNNNNNNNNNNNNNNNNNNNNNNNNNNNNNNNNNNNNNNNNNNNNNNNNNNNNNNNNNNNNNNNNNNNNNNNNNNNNNNNNNNNNNNNNNNNNNNNNNNNNNNNNNNNNNNNNNNNNNNNNNNNNNNNNNNNNNNNNNNNNNNNNNNNNNNNNNNNNNNNNNNNNNNNNNNNNNNNNNNNNNNNNNNNNNNNNNNNNNNNNNNNNNNNNNNNNNNNNNNNNNNNNNNNNNNNNNNNNNNNNNNNNNNNNNNNNNNNNNNNNNNNNNNNNNNNNNNNNNNNNNNNNNNNNNNNNNNNNNNNNUAUAUAUAUAUAUAUAUAUAUGUUAAGGCCCAAAAUUUAUAUCCUAAAUUCCCAAUAACCCAAAAUUCAAAUGUUUAAUCCAUUUGAAAUUUAACCAAGAUACCCACCAUAGUUUAUAAUACAACUAAUUCCAAAUAUUCUUCCGAACAAUGUUUAAUUUUUAGGCGGCUAAUUACUUUUUAUCAGCUAAUAAUAUUUUUACCAACUGGGUCAUCACCGUUCAUCGGCUUUGGCUUCAAUUUAGAGUGCCUCCUUCUCCUGACGAUCACCUCCAAUGAUAGCCAAUUGGAUGUUUUCACUUCUUUAGUUCUCCUUCUCAUCCGAUCGAUUCAACCUCUACCUAAUUACGUCUAUAGAUUUCAUCGAUAACAAUCUAUCUUCUACACCACGCUUACCUUACCUUGAAUCCAAAGUAUUAUUGUUUUUUGAUCCCAUUCGUUCCCUAAUCCUCAUUCUGUGUCCCAAUUGGGUAGUGCUACUACUCCAAUUUAAGUAUUCUGGUUCGUUUUUAGUGUUCGUCGAUUUGGUGGUGAUGUUGACGGUAGUUAUGACCAGUGUCGUUGGAUCGACAUUUGAAAAACGAGGUUAAAGAGAUCAAACGGUCAUCCGAUUUUGGGGUUUUGUUGAAAGGUUUACUUUGGGGCCUUUUACUAGUUAUACAGAGAGAAUAGAAAAACAUUCAGAUACCAAUCCGCAAGGCUUUAGAAACUUGUGGAAGAAAGCGGAUAUGUAACACUGUAACGCCCCGAUUCGUAGGUAUUGAUUUGAAUGAAAGUUUAUUUGGUUUUAAGAUCUACUCGACGAGUUGGUUGCCCUGCUCGUCGAAAAGCAGUGGGGUGGGAUCGCGUGUUUAGUGGCCUAUUCGCCGAGUCCAAGAAGGGACUCAACGAAUAGGAGCUGGCAGAUGAAACCCUAAAUCCCAGGGUUUUGCCCCCUAUUUAAAGAAGCACAAGCCUCUUUCAGCCUCUUUACAGUCCCUUGAGAGCUUAGCAAAACCCUAAUACGUGUGUGUGCCCAUUUUGUGUUUGAAGCUUUGGAAGAUGAUUCUUGGCGAGAAGAGUUUGGGGAAACAAGUGGAUUGAAGCAAGGAACUCAGGGGAAAUCAAGAUCUACUUCAAUUGGCAUAUUUUAGGAAGGUAUUAAGCUGUUAUCUUAAUCACAUUUCGUUCUAGACCUCCUUGGAUGGAGUUUAGGGUUUCUUGGUUUGGUCAUGGAGCUAUUUAUGGGGUAUAAGCUCAGAUCUGAAGUUGUAACUUCAGAUCUGAACUCUCUGUGAAUUGUAAGACCAUAAAGCUUUCAUUCUUGGCAAGUAUGAACUCCUCCCUAAGUGUAAAACCCCAUUUCAAGCUUAGUUUUGGCACUUUGAGUCAAUAAAGCCUUGCAUGCACGUAAAGUUUACAACUUUACGUGAUAAGCAUGCUUAAGGAAGUUGGAUCUGCAAUUUAGGGCCUUGCCAUGGCUUAAAAAGUCUCUGCAUGGUGAAAUGACUGAAGGGACUCGGCGAGUCGCAUAGUCGACUCGGCGAGUCAUAUGAAAAUAUGCAUUGAACUCGACGAGUUGGAUGAACAACUCGACGGGUACGAUGAAGAUUGCCAUAGACUCGACGAGUUGGAUGAACAACUCGGAGAGUCAGUUAAGGUUUCCCAAUUGAUGAAUGCGCGUGAACUUGUUGAGUUGCAAGAAGGAAAAGUCGACAAGUGGCCUUAGAGCUUCGAUCGCGAACCUUAGGAACUCAACGAGUCACCUAGUGACUCGGCGAGUGGUCAAGUAUCUCAAGGAACUCGGCGAGUAGCCGAGGGUACUCGACGAGUUAGGUUUAACAUGGACUGUUGACUUUGACUUUGACCAGGGGGUGAGUAGUUGACUUAUGGGGUACCUUGAAAGGUUGGGAACUUAUGGGUAUGAUUAUAUUAUGGUAAUAGGUGGUGGAGUUGUUGACAGCGAUUCAAGAGUUGGAGUUCAUCUACCGAGUCGACAUUUGCAAGGUGAGUUAUCCUCACUAUAUCGAUAGGGUCUACGACACCAAGUGUCACACCCCAAAACAAAACGGCGGAAACAUUCGGGGGCGGAGGAUGUCAUGUCAAGUAUCAUAGCAAAUGAAUAGUAAAGAAAGCACACACCACCAUAAUAUAAAUAUAUUUGAAAAGUUUACAUGAUCGUAUGUGUUACAUGUUUGAAUAUCAAAUACAAUAUGGUGAUCCAACAUAUGUUAUUAAUGCCAGCGCGUUAGUCUUCAAAAGUAGUUGCUACCUGGUUUAGUGGUUUCCAGUGAAUACAAGUUAUUUCAAAGAAAAAGUGUUAACAAUAAAGUUGGUGAGUUCAUAAGUAGUGUUUUGAGAAAAUGAAUGUCAUUCGAAAGUUCGUGUAUGCUUUCCAGAAAAUCCCUUAUUUUCUAUUAGAUGUAUGAAAGAUCGUUGUAUAAACUGUAUGUAUUUGAACCAGGAAAAUCCCUUAUUUUCCUAAAAAGUGAAAUGCAAUCUCAAAUGACCAAGACCGUAAGCUGUAAGCAACUAUGACAUGCUCAAAAGAAUGAUGUAUAAUCUUAUUAUAAAAUAAUAAGAUAAGAAGAUCGUAUUUGUAAAUGAAAAGUGACUGUAACAGUCAUUUUCCCCGUGAAAACAAAAUACCAUAAUCAUUGUCUAUCUCAUGAGUUUUCAUAACCGUACUAUCAUACUUUACCUGUAGCGACGUUCUUCAGGCGUCGAAAUGAGAUGACACUUGUCACCCCGGGGACUGUAGCGAGCAGUCAGGGCGCGGGAUCAUUAGUCCUGUAUAGAUCUAUACACACUUGUCACGUUUUACAGACGGGAGAUUCUGGUUAUAAACAGGACUUCUAGUGGUACCUUAAUAGGUAUAAUGAAGAUGAAUGACUCACAUAUUCUCAAAUAAGUUUGUAUUCUUGAAAAUGAUGAUUUUGUAUGAAAUGAUUUCCCUUUUUCCACAAUAUUAAUAAAGGUAUAAUAAAAGGAGUAUGAUCUUGUAUGUAUAAGAAUGUUAUACUGAAAAUGAUUACCCUUGAUAUGAUACAAAAGUAUAAAUAAGCUUAUAGUAUUUAUAAUCAUGUUUUAUCCCGAGAGGGUAAAGUAAGGUAAGAUGUCUUGCAUGUUAACAGAUCCCUAUGAUAGUUAUUAAAAAACAGUCUGAAAUGUAUAACGAAAGAGAGAUGUUUUCAGACAAGAUUAACCGUGUGUUUACUUGUAUUCUCCCCCGUAAUGUGUUAAAAGCAUUUAAAAAGUAUUUAAAAGCGUAGAAAUGGGGUAUCAACUCACCUGGUAGUUUGAAGAAAGUGAAACAAAAAUCAAGCAGAACUUCGACUAGAGAAAACUGAUUUUAUCAGGAUUCUCGGGAAUCUUGGGAGCGUAAAACUUCCUUUCGAACUUAAAUAUAAAAACCGGGACUUCGGGAUGGCUCCGAGGGUUUUAAUGCAAAGCUUCGGCACGAGAAAGAGAAGAAAUGAGCAAAUAAUACCAAAACCCUUGCACCCUUUUUAUAGAGGCUGAAACCCCCUUGUACACGGGGCGUACUCACCCCAGUUAUGUUAGGCGUAAUGAUUCGUCAUCGCAUGCGUAGCUCGGACCUGAUAGACGAUGGGAAAUCCUGUUGGCCGAUGGUAUGAGGCUCAUAUCCACUGGUACGCUGGGCAUAACUAGCUACGCGGGGCGUAGUUUGAAUUUCCAAACUUCUAAAUUGUGUAACUUUUGCGUAGGAGCUCCGUUUUCGCGUUAUUUAUGUCCACGCGUAGGUGAGACUGUACUCUACAACUUUCAUUUAGACUCCAACAGCUAGUUUUGAGUUUAUUUUUAAUUAUUUAUUUUUAAUAGGUCGGGACACGAAAAGUCCGUUUAAAAUCCGUAGCUUCUUUAUCCGAUGUCCGUUUUCGACAGACUUUUCACCGUUGUGCUACUAUUGUUAAGGAAUUUUUUUAUCGUUUUGGUUGUUUCGGCCAAAAAUCUCUCGAUCUCUAUUUUGAGUUUUUAGUUGUCUAAUGUUAUGUCCGAAACUUAGAAAAAUCAUAACUUUCUCAUACGAAGUCAGAUUUGGACGUUCUUUUUAUGCACAUUCAUGGUUUAGUAUAAUCUAUGAAUUUCGUUUAGAUUCCUAAGCCUAAAAAGUAUUUUAUUGAAAUUUCACUUUUUACCUUUAUCAGGGUUUUACUGGUUUUCACACAAAUCUUCGUUGGUCAUAACUUCCUUAUUAUAACUCAUAUUCGAGUGUUUUGAAUAUUUCUGAAAACCGUGACACGAUAUCUAUCAUUUAGGCAUCCCAAUUAUGACUUUCUGAACAUUUUAUUUUCGAAGCUAUUUUAUUAACUUAAAAAUGGGUUACAAGGUUUGACUGGAAGUCCUUACAUUGGUUUGAAAUUUCGGGUUGUCACAUCAUCCCCCCGUUAGAGGGAAUUUCUUCCCGAAAUUAUUUACAAAGACAAGUGUUUAUGGACUAGGGAAGAGAUGCGGGUACUUUCGUUGCAUCUGAUAUUCUCGCUCCCAAGUGAAUUCAGGUCCCCAUUUAGCAUUCCAGUGAACCUUCACUAUUGGUAUGCGACUCUGUUUAGUUCGUUUGAUCUCCCUAUCCAUGAUCUCGACGGGUUCUUCCACGAAGUUAAGAUUUUCAUUUAGUUCGAUUUCCUCGAGUGGAAUUACAAGAGUUUUGACGGAUAGACACUUCUUCAAGUUAGACACAUGAAACACCGGAUGCACUUUGUUAAGUUCGAUUGGAAGUUGAAGCCUAUAAGCUACUGGACCAAUCCUUGUAGUAAUUUCGAAAGGUCCAAUGUACCUUGGGUUUAGUUUUCCAUGCUUCCUGAAGCGUAUCAUGCCUUUCCAGGGUGAGACCUUCAGUAGAACGCGGUCACCAACCUGAAAUUCCAAGGGUUUUCGUCUUUUGUCGGCAUAGUUCUUUUGUCUAUCUCUCGAGGCUUUCAGUCGUUCUCGAAUUUGAACGAUCUUUUCAGUCGUUUCCCUGAUAAUUUCCGGACCAGUGAGAGUGCUAUCCGGAACUAGACCUUUUGCCAACCGCGUGUCGCCCACUUUCGCCCAGCACAGAGGAGACCUGCACUUGCGGCCGUAAAGGGCUUCAAAUGGAGCAGUCUUGAUGCUAGUGUGAUAACUGUUGUUAUAGGAGAACUCAACUAAUGGUAGGUGGAUGUCCCACGCUUUACCAAAGUUGAUUACACAUGCUCGCAACAUGUCUUCUAGUGUUUGGAUCGUUCUCUCACUCUGGCCGUUAGUCUGUGGGUGAUAGGCUAUACUCAUAUCUAGCCUAGUUCCCAAGGCUUUCUGCAGCGUCUGCCAGAACCUUAAGUGAACCUACUGUCUCUGUCCAAGAUGAUUGAUAUUGGUACUCCGCACGAUUUCUCGGACGUAGGUUCUUGUUAGUUUCUCCAUCUUAUUGGUCUCCUUGAUAGGCAAGAAGUGGGCAGAUUUGGUUAACCUGUCGACGAUCGCCCAAAUGGUAUCGUGACCACCUAGCGUAUUGGGUAGUUUGGUUAUGAAGUCCAUGGAAAUCUGCUCCCACUUCCACUCAGGUAUUUCGGGCUGAUGGAGUAGUCAUGAGGGCUUCUGAUGUUCUACUUUGAUCUUGGCGCAAGUCAAGCACUUGCCCACAUAGGUAGCAAUUUCUGCUUUCAUGUUUGGCCACCAGUAGAGUUGCUUGAGAUCCAGAUACAUCUUAUCUGAACCUAGGUGCAUAGAGUAUGGGGUCUUGUGUGCUUCAUCCAUAAGCAUUAAUCUGAACCCACCGAACUUUGGUGUCCAGAUUUGGUUCAUGAGGUAACGAACUCCGCCGCUCUUGAUUUCAAGAUUGUUAUCCAUCCCUCUAAGUGCUUCACCUGUCAUGUUUUCGGGUUUCAAGGCUUCCAUUUGAGCUUUCUUGAUUUAUACUGACGGGUAUGAAUGGAUUGUCAUGGUUAAUGAUUUCACUCUUCGACCAGGGUACUCCUUACGACUAAGAGCAUUUGGCACCACAUUGGCUUUGCCCGGAUGAUAACGAAUCUCACAUUCGUAGUCAUUUAGUAGUUCGACCCAAUGUCGUUGUCUCAUACUUAAUUCUUUUCGAUUGAAUAUAUGUUUAAGACUUUAUGGUCUGUGAAGAUGGUGCACUUUGUACCGUAUAGGUAGUGCCUCUAGAUCUUCAGAGCGAAUACCACUACUCCCAGUUCUAAGUCGUGAGUGGUGUAGUUGACCUCAUGUGUUUUCAGUUGUCGUGAGGCGUACGUAAUAACCUUUCCUCGCUGCAUUAGCACACAACCUAGCCCCCGAUUGGAAGCAUCGCAAUAUACUACGAAGUCUUCUGUCCCCUCUGGAAGGGACAAGAUGGGUGCACUGCACAGGGCUUGCUCCAAGGUCUGAAAUGCGGUAUCUUGUUUUUCUUCCCAUUUGUAGGCUACACCCUUCUGAGUCAGGGAGGUAAGACGUUUUGCAAUGCUGGAGAAGUUUUGUAUGAACCUACAGUAAUAGCCAGUGAGGCCUAGGAAUUGGCGAAUCUUGGUUGGCGUUGUGGGCGCAGCCUAAUUCUCGAUAGCCUUGAUCUUAGAAGGGUCCACGUGGAUUCCCUCUUCGCUAACCACGUGCCCCAAGAAGUCCACCUUCCUAAUCCCUCUUCGCUGACCACGUGGAUUCCCUCUUCUCAGCUCGUAAUGUCUCUAAGACUUGUCUCAGGUGUUGACCAUGUUCUUCUCUACUCUUUGAAUAUAUGAGUAUGUCAUCUAUGAACACAAUCACGAAUUUGUCCAGGAAGGAACGACAUACCCAAUUCAUUAAGUCCAUGAACACGGCAGGGACGUUGGUUAGUCCGAACAACGUUACUACAAAUUCAUAGUGACCGUAUCUUGUUCGGAAAGCCGUCUUGGGAAUAUCACCUUCCAGGACUCGUAGCUGGUGAUAUUCCGAUCUCAGAUCGAUCUUGGAAAAAUAGUUUGCUCCUUGCAGUUGGUCGAAUAGAUCGUCUAUUCAUGGUAGGGGAUACCGGUUCUUGAUGGUAAGCUUGUUGAGUUCUCGGUAAUCGAUACACAUUCUGAAGGAUCCGUCCUUCUUUUUCACGAACAGUACUAGCGCUCCCCAUGGCGAGAAACUUGUCCGGAUGAAUCCUUUGCCGAGCAGCUCGUUCAAUUGGCUAGAUAGUUCUUGCAUUUCCGUUGGGGUUAAGCGAUACGGUGCCUUGGCUACAGGAGUAGCUCCUGGAAUUAGGUCAAUCCUAAACUCCACUUGUCUUGUAGGGGGUACUCCUGGAAGAUCCUCCGGAAAGACAUCGGGAAAAUUACUUACGUCAAGCACGCCCUUGAUGUCUUUUACUUCUCGUUUCAUAUCUAUGACAUGUGCCAAAAAUGCGUGGCAUUCCUUACGCAAGUACUUUUGAGCCUUGAUGCAGGAGAUAAUGCAAAGAGUGGUGUUAGGCUUAUUGCCAUAUAUAAUAUGGGUUUCGCCAUUUGGCAGAUUAAGGCGAACGGACUUUUCGUAACAUAAGAUGUCCGCACGAUGAGCUCUCAGCCAGUCCAUGCCAAUGAUGACGUCGAAACUUUUUAUUGAGACUGACAUAAGGUUGACCGGGAAAGACUUGUUGUUUAGUGAGAGGGUACAAUUUAAGUAUAUUUCUUUAGCACCUUCUGUUUUACCGUUAGCCAUUUCUAUUAUAAAUGUUUCACUUAGCGAUUGAGGUGUUGAUUUGAGUAGAUUUUUAAAAUUAUGGCUCACGAAACUCUUCUCCGCUCCACUAUCAAACAAAAUGUAUGCACAUGAGUUAUCGAGGAGAAACGUACCCGUAACAACAGUGGGAUCUGCAACGGCUUCCUCCUGGCCUAUUGCGAAUACUCGGCCUCUCCCGCCAACAUUCUUGUUGUUUGCCUUCGGACAGUCCUUUCGGAAGUGUCCUGUAGCUCUGCACUCGAGGCAGGUGCGGCCUACCCCGACAUUUGCGGCUGGAAUGCCUGAUUGGGCUGGUUUUAACAACCAAAAAAUUUACGCCAAAUUUAAACUUUUUCAAUCAUAAAUAACACCCAAUAGCAUUGUUUACAGAAAAUGGUUUCAAAUCAUUAUUCAAUCAGUGUGUCCCAUAAGCCAGAUCAUAAGGAUGAGGAGCGGUACGGUCAUGCCUUCGCCUUGCCAUGAUCUCCUAAAGUACCUGAAACAAUAACUGAAAAAUGUAAGCCCGAGGGCUUAGUGAGCUACCCCCAAAAUACCAAUACCACACUGAUAAUAUCAUAUUAGCAGUAAUCAAUCAAUCAACAUGCAUACUGGGCCAUCGGCCUGACUGGACCGCCCUACAGGGCCUACAGUCUAGCUGAAUUUAUAUCGAGCCUUCGGCAUGACUAGACCGUCACGUGGCCUACAGUCUCCCCGGACCGCUCAUAGGGUAUGUUGGCCUUCAACACAAAGCAGGACCGCCUCCACCCAACCAACGAGCAAAUAAUCAGGUACGCAUAGCUAACAUACACUGGCAUAUACAUACAUCAAACAUAUCUAAUUCACUAAUCAUCAAUCAUAGCAAUCUCUCAUGACUAGAGCACCGACCUAGCAGGCCACUAACAUACCAAUCCCUAAGGAUCAUAAAAGCAUAACAUACUGUCUAUCCUGAUUCAGAUCUAUCAGAUCAUAACCACAUAUAUCAUAUCAUAUCUAUAACAACUAAAGCGCCGGCCUUGGUGCCUUAGACCCUUGUGAUAUAGAGAGGAUAACUCACCUCGCAGAUGUCGACUCUGUAGAUAAACUACAACUCUCGGAUCACUUGCCCAAGACUCCACCACCUAUUACCAUAAUAUGAAUAUACCCAUAAGUCCACAACCUUACAAGGUACUCCCUAAACCAAGCAGUCAACCCCUGGUCAAGGUCAAAGUUCUCAGUCAAGGUCAACAGUCCAUGUUGACCUUAACUCGCCAAGUACCCUCGGCUACUCACCGAGUUCCUUGAAGUAUUUUCCCACUCGUCGAGUCACCGGGGUGACUUGUAGAGUUCCUUCGGUCUACGAUCGAAACUCUACGGCCACUCGUCAAAUUUCCUUCAUGCAACCCGACGGAUACGCACACAUACAUAACUUGGAGAAAUCUCAUCCGAAUCGCCGAGUUGUUCAAACAACUCGUCGAGUCUAUGACAAUCUUCAACGGACUCGCCGAUUUGUUAUUCCAACUCGUUGAGUUCACGCCUAUCUUCAUAUGACUCGCCGAGUCCCUUUAGUCCUUUUGCCAUAUAGACUCAUUUGAGUCAUGCAGCGGCUCCAAACUACAGAUCCAAGCUUCUAAGGCAUGGUUUUCACGUAAAGUUGCAAACUAUACGUUCAUGCAUAGCUAUAAAGGCUCUAAAUGUCCAAUCCAAGCCCAUCAUGGGGUUUCCUACCCAAGGAAGGUUUCAUUCACGUCCAAACGAGAAACUUUAUGACUCUAGGACUUGAGAAGGGUCUAGAUCUGAAGUUACAACUUCAGAUCUAGCCCAUAGUCCACCUUAUCAACUCAAAGAUCCAUAAAAGCCCCAAAACUCAACCAAAAAGUGGUCUAGAAGGGAAAAGAAGUAAAGGUGGCGACUUGAUACCUCUAGAAGAUGCUAGCUGAGGUAGAUUCUUAUUGCCACACUUUCCUGGAUCCAAUUCCUUCGCCUUCCAAGUUCCUUCUCUCCUAAGAUCUUCCUCCCAAGCUUAAUACACCCACAAUAAAGCACCACAUGAAUUAGGGUUUCUUAAGAGCUCUCUAGAACUGUAAAGAGGCCAAAGGAGGCUUAAGCCUCCUUAAAUAGGAUGCAAAACGCCAGGAUUUAGGGUUUCAUCAGCCAGCUCCAACUCGGCGAGUUCCUUCAUGGACUCGGCGAGUGGGUCACUAAACACACGAUUCCACCCCGCUACUACUCGACGAGUAAGGCAACCGACUCGUCGAGUAGGACUUAAACCAAAGAAAUCAAUAUCUGAGAUUCGGGGCAUUACAAUUCUCCUCCACUUGAACUAGACUUUGCCCUCGAAGUCCUCUGGAAUAAACAAUGUCGGGUCGUGCUCGCGCAUCUCCGCCUCCGGCUCCCAUGUCCACUCAGAUCCCCUCGGAUGUUCCCACUGUACCUUCACCAAAGGUAUUUCCUUGUUCCGUAAAAUCUUAUUUCUCCUCUCCAAGAUGGAAACAGGCCUCUCCACGUAAUUCAGGCGGUCAUCGACCUGAACAUCAUCCAGCGAUACUACUGCCUCCUAGUCCAUGAUGCACUUUCGCAACUGCGAAACAUGGAACUUGUUGUGGAUCCGGCUAAGCUCCGUCGGAAGCUCAAGCCUAUAAGUCACUUUUCCAACCGUGGCAAUGAUCCUGAACGGCCCAAUAUAACGGGGUCCCAAUUUUCCUAUCUUCUUGAAACGGAUCACACCCUUCCAGUGCGAGACCUUCUAAAGUACCAUGUCACCCACCUAAAAUUCAACUCGGAUCGGCGUCAUUCGUCAUAACUUUUCUGCCGACUCUGAGCGAUCUGUAAUCGCUGUCUAACCUGUUGUAUCUUUUCAGUAGUUUGCAGAACUACCUCUAUCCGACCCAUCACCCUGUGCCUAACCUCACCCCAGCAGACUGGGGUUUUACACCUCCGCCCAUACAACAACUCAAAAGGCAGGGCGCCAAUAAUGGAAUGAUAGCUGUUGUUGUAGGCGAAAUCUGCAGGCGAUAGGUGGGAAUCCCAACUCCCACCGAAGUCAAUGACACACGCCCUCAACAUAUCCUCUAGGGUCUAAAUGGUUCGCUCACUUUGUCCAUCGGUCUACGGAUGGAACAUUGUACUAAAGUGCAGCCGCGUACCCAGUUCUUCAUGGAACUUCUGCCAAAAACGGGAAGUAAACCUGACAUCCUGAUCGGAAACGAUGGAGACUGGAACCCCAUGACGAGAGACAAUCUCGUUGACGUACAUGUUGGCCAAUUUCUUUGCCGACGAACUCUCCCGUAUGGCCAAGAAAUGGGCACUCUUGGUCAAUCGAUGACCCAUAUAACAUCGAACCCCUUCGACGUCCUCGGCAACUUAGUAAUGAAGUCCAUUGUGAUCUACUCCCAUUUCCACAUGGGAAUCUCCAGAGGCUGCAGCUUACCAUGCGGCCUCUAAUGCUCGGCCUUGACCAUCCUACAGGUCAGGCACCUCUCAACUUGCCAAGCGAUUUCUCGCUUCAUACCGGGCCACCAGUAACUCAAACUCAUAUUGCGGUACAUCUUGGUGUCCCCCGGGUGAAUGGAAAAGUGAGACUUAUGAGCCUCCUUCAUCACUGUCCGUCGAACCCCUCCGGAUGUCGGAACCCAGACCCGACCAUAUCGAGUCAAUAAUCCGCGACUAUCCUGAACAAACCGGGCGCUCUCGCCCUUAAUCCUUUCUAACUUCCAGUUCUCUGAUCCCAUAUCCUCAACCUGAGCAUCCCUAAUCAAGCUCACAAGUGGGGAAUCCACCGUUAUCCUCAUACACCUUGCUAGAGUAGAAGACCCAGCUGACUUGCAGCUCAAAGCAUCUGCAACCACAUUCACCUUACCAGGAUGGUAAAGGAUCGCACAAUCAUAGUCCUUGACCACAUCCAGCUACCUGCACUGCCUCAUGUUUAGGUUCGGCUGAUCCAUGAUGUGUCUCAAACUCUUGUGAUUCGUAUAUAUAGUGCAACGGAACCCGUACAGAUAAUGCCUCCAAAUAUUGAGAGAGAAAACCACCACUCCCAACUCAAGAUCGUGCAUAGGGUAUCUCGUCUCAUGUGGCUUUAGCUGCCGCGAUGCAUAAGCUAUCACUCAUCCCCUUUGCAUGAGGACUGCCCUCACGCCCGAGAUGGAUGCAUCACGGUAUACUACAAAAUCCUCGACUCCCUCGGGGAGUGUCAACACCGGCGCCUCGCAUAAACACCGUCGGAGGGUCUCAAACGCCCUCUGCUGCUUAGGGCCCCACCAGAAAUCCACUCCCUUCCUCGUUAAACGAGUGAGGGGUAUUGCAAUCUUGCAGAAAUCUCGAAUAAAUCUCCGGUAGUUCCCUGUUAAACCCAAGAAACUUCUGAUGUCUGAGGGAGAUUUCAGAAUCUCCCACUGCAUAACCGCCUCUACCUUGGCCGGAUCGACCAAAAUCCCCUCUUGGUUAACGAGAUGUCUGAGGAACUGGACCUCUCAUAACCAAAACUCAGACUUCAAGAACUUGGCAUAUAGCUGUUCUCACCGCAAAACCUUGAGUAGCUCCCUGAGAUGCUCCUCGUGCUGCUCUCGAGUCUUGGAAUACACCAAGAUAUCAUCUAUAAACGCAAUGACUGAGCGAUCAAGCAUCGGUCUACAAACUCGGUUCAUUAAAUCCGUGAACACUGUCGGUGCGUUGGUGAGCCGAAAUGGCAUCAUUACGAACUCUAGUGACCAUAACGAGUCUGAAACGCGGUCUUCUCCACGUCUUCCUCCCUUACCCUGAGCUGGUGAUAACCGAACCUCAAAUCGAUCUUGGAGAACCAAGAUGCACCCUGCAGCUGAUUGAAAAUAUCAUCUAUCCUUGGGAGUGGAAAACGGUUCUUCACCGUUAACUUUUCCAACUCCCUAUAGUCAAUGAACAUCCUGUACGAACUGUCCUUCUUCCUGACGAAGAGGAGGUGCUCCCCAGGGUGAACUACUCAGACAAAUAAACUGCUUACCCAGCAGCUCUUGCAGCUGAGAUGACAGCUCCUGCAUCUCAGGCGGUGCCAGACGGUAUGGUGCCUUGGCGAUAGGGGCCGCACCCGACACUAGAUCAAUCCUGAACUUAACCUGCCUCUCCGAAGGCACACUGGGUAACUCCUCCGGAAACACGUCAGCAAAUUCCCUAACCACCAGGACCUCUGAGACCGAGGGUUGCUCCCUAACCCGCGUAUCUACCACAUACGUUAAAUAACCAGCACACCCGUGCUGAAUAUACUGCCGAGCCCUGGCUGCCGAACAAAACCCUGAUCCAAUCCUUGUGCCCUUGCCACAUACCACCAGUUUUCCCCCACUUGGGGUGCAAACCACCACUCGCUGUCCCACACAGUUGAUCAUGGCACCGAAUCGACUGAGCCAAUCCAUCCCUACUAUCACGCAUACUUCCCCCAUGGGAAUAGGUAUCAAAUCUAUCGGGAAGGAUACCCCGAAAAUAUCCAAAUUGCAUCCCCGAUAGACCGAAGAAGCAGAAACCUCGUGCUCGUUGGCGAUCGAAACUCGCAACGGACACUGAAGCUCAUCUAUCGGCACACUGAACCCUCUACUGAAAGUCUAAGAUACAAACGACCGACUCGCUCCCGAGUCGAAUAAUACCAAAGCAGGCAAAGAAUUUACCAAAAACGUUCCUAAACACACGUUCAACCAAUAAGCAUAACACAUACAUAAUAACUGGAACAGAAAAAUAGAAACAUACCAACAACUACCUCCCACUCGACAAACCCCAGAAUGAUCCCGACCAUACUUUCUACAAGUGCGGCUCUGCUAACCCUCGGUCCGAGUAUCAGCGGUCUUAGAUUGCUUAGGUGCCAGCUGAGACUGUACCGGAACCUGACGCUGCUCCCUCAACUACAGCUCAAUCUCUAACUCACGCCGCCUCGCGGCUUCCUGAAGAUCCAGGAGGGUAUCACAACGCUGUGUAGCCACAAACUGUCGAAUAUCCGUCUUGAGCAUACUCAGAUAACGAGUCAUUUGUGACCACUUUGAAGCAAACUCCGAGCAGAACAUAGCCCUCUCUGUGAACAUACGAGUAAUCUCCAUCAUAGACUCCCCAUCAUGCCUGUCACACCACCAAACCAGAACGGCGGAAACGUUCGGGGGCGGAGGACGUCAUGUUCAAUAUCAUAACAGUUCAUAGAAAGGAAAGUACACACCACCAUAUAUAUAAAGGUUUUCAAAGUGUUUACAUAAUUGUAUUCGUUACAUGUUCAAAAGAUAAAUACAUAAAUAUCUUUCAAAAGAAGUAAUCAACGUCAACGCGUUAAUCCCCAAAAGUUGAUUUCCAAACCUGCUUAGCGGUUCCCUGAGAAUACAAGUUAUUUCAAAGAAAAGUGUCAACAAUUAAGUUGGUGAGUUCAUAAGCGGUUUUGAGAAAUUGUAUGCCAUUCCAAAAUGAGUGUAUAUUUUCCAAGAAAAUCCCUUAUUUUCUUAUAAAAGUAUGAAAUGCAUGAAAAUAUUUGUGUUGUAAAAUGUAGAUAGUUGAAUCAAGAAAAUCCCUUAUUUUCCUAUUAGUUGUUUGUUUUGUAUACAGGAAAAUCCCAUAUUUUCCUAAAGUAACAAGUAGUCUAAUGUCCAAUACUAAAAACCGAAAGCAAUUGACAUGCUUUAGAAGAUUGAAGCAUAUUUUUAUAUAAUAAAACCUAUAAGAAGAUCGUAGUUGUUAGAUAAAGAGUAGUUUUAAUAGCUACUCAUUCAUAAUCCAGAAGUACUAUAAUAAUUGUAUAUCCGAUGAGUUUUAUAACCAUACUAAACAUAAUAUGUCUAUAGCGACGUUCUUCAGGCGUCGUAGCGUUAUGACAAACUGUCACCCCAAAGGACGGACUGUAGCUAUCAGUCAGGGCGCGGGAUCAUGACUUCCCGUAUAGAUCUAUACACAUUUGACAUGUUCCCCCAAUGGGAGACUCUGGUUAUAGACAGGACUUGAAGUGGUGCCUUUUAGCAAAAAGGUAGUAUUUGAAGAUGUACAUGUCUCACCGAUUCUCAACUAAGUCUAUAUUAAAGUAGUAGUUUUGUAUGCAAAGUGUAUCCUUUUUCACAAUGUUUGACAAAGCAUAAGUCAUAAGUUCUUUGAAUGCAUAAAACGGUUUAACAAUGAUGGCUACUUCGGAUACUAUGUACUUUGUAUAAAUCUAGUGUAUGUAAAGUGUAACAAGAGUUUUCAUAUAAUAGUUAUGAAACACAUAUGAUUCAUUUGAUAAAAAAAGUAAAGUGAAACUUUAUGUAACACACGAUAAUAACCGUGUGUUUACUUGUAUUCUCCCCCGAAAUGUAUUAAACAUACAUUAUAAAGUAUUUGAAAGUGUAUGAAAGGGGGUAUGAACUCACUUGAUAGAUUGAAGAAGGUGAGACGAAAACCGAGCAGAACUUUGACUUGAAAAAGCGGAUUUUCUCGGGAAUCUCGGGAGCGUAAAACUUUCUUCGGGGCCUAAAUAUGGGAACCGGGGCUUCGGGAUAAAUAUUGCACGGAAAACGAGGCAAAAAUGCAAGAAAGAUGAGAUGAAACGAGCAAUUUCCCCGGAACCCUCGCAUCCCUUUUAUAGGGGGGGUGAACCGCCUCGGUACGCUGGGCGUACGCGUGCGUCAAGCGUGACCGAGUCCUCGACUGCCUCGGAGCCCGGAUGGGACGGGGCAUAGCCUCACAUAGGGGGCGACGUGGACGACCUGGGGCCUAGUCCUUGAGUACGCUGGGCGUACGAGGGUAUGCUGGGCGUAACUCGGAUGGACCCGGUGACUCCUCCUUCGGAUGAUACCGAAUUUUUAUUUAAAUUUAUCCUUUUAUUAAUUAGUAAACUUCAAAAAUUCAUAUCUUCUCCAUACGAACUCCGUUUUCUACGUUCUUUAUAUCCACGAAUAGGUGAGACUACGCUCUACGACUUUCAUUUAGACUCCGUCGGCUAAUUUUGAAUUUAAUUUUAUUAUUUAUUUUUAAAAGGUCGGGACAGGAAAAGUUCGUUAAAAAUUCAUAACUUCUUCAUACGAAGUCAGAUUUGGGCGAUCUUUUUAUGUAUGUUCGUGGUUUAAUGAUAUAUAUGACUUUCAUUUAGAUACCUAAGGUCAAAAAGUACUUUAUUGAAAUUUCUCGUUUUAUGCUUAACAACGUUUUACCGUUAGUUGUUACGAAUCUUUGAUUGGUCAUAACUCCUUCGUUAUAACUCGGAUUUUUGUGUUCUUUAUAUUUUUGGAAACCUUAACACGCCAUCUACCACUUAGUGUACUCAAACAGGGGUUUUUUGAACAUUUCAUUUUUGAUGAUAUUCCUUAUAAUUUCACAAAGAGAUUACAAGACUCGACUUUUUAGCCAUUUCAUUGACUUGAAAUAACGGGUUGUUACAUCAUCCCCCCGUUAGAGGGAAUUUCGUCUCGAAAUUUAAUACUAAAUAAGUGUCAAUGGACUAGGGAAGAGAUGCGGGUACUUUUGUUGCAUCUGAUCUUCUUGUUCCCAAGUGAAUUCAGGUCCUCGCUUAGCGUUCCAGCGAACCUUCACUAUUGGUAUGCGACUUUGUUUAGUUCGCUUGAUUUCCCUAUCCAUGAUCUUGACGGGUUCUUCCACAAAGUUAAGAUUUUCGUUAAGUUUGAUUUCGUCGAGUGGAAUCACAAGAGUUUCGUCGGACAAACACUUUUUCAGGUUCGAUACGUGGAAUACUGGAUGUACCUUGUUAAGCUCGAUUGGAAGUUGGAGUUUGUAAGCCACUGGACCAAUUCUUGAAAUAAUUUCGAAGAGUCCAAUGUACCGAUGAUUUAGCUUUCCACGCUUUCCAAAGCAUAUCAUGUCGUUCCAGGGUGAGACCUUUAGCAGAACGCGGUCACCAAUCUGAAAUUCUAAGGGUUUACGUCUUUUAUCGGCAAAGCUCUUUUGCCUAUCUCUUGAGGCUUUCAGUCGUUCUCGUAUUUGAAUGAUCUUUUCAGUCAUUUCUCUAAUGAUCUCCGGACCAGUGAGAGUGCUAUCAGGGAGUAGACCUUUUGCCAACUGCGUGUCGCCUACUUCCGUCCAGCACAGAGGUGACCUGUACUUACGGCCAUAAAGGGCUUCAAAUAGAGCAGUCCUGAUACUAGUAUCAUAACUGUUGUUAUAAGAGAACUUGACUAAAGGUAAGUGAACGUCCCACGCUUUACCAAAGUCGAUUACACAUGCUCGCAACAUGUCUUCUAGGGUUUGGAUCGUUCUCUCACUCUAUCCGUCAGUUUGUGGGUGAUAGGUUGUACUCAUAUCCAACCUUGUUCCCAUGGAUUUUUGCAAUGAUUGCCAGAAUCUGAAAGUAAAUCUGCUGUCUCUGUCUGAGAUGAUAGACAUCGGCACUCCAUGAAGUUGCACGAUCUCUCGGAUGUAGGUUCUUGAUAUUUUUUCCAUUUUAUCAGUUUCCUUGAUCGGUAAGAAAUGAGCAGACUUGGUUAGCCUGUCGACGAUCACCCAAAUAGUAUCUUGGCCACCCUGAGUUUUGGGUAGUUUUGUUAUGAAGUCCAUGGAAAUCUGUUUCCAUUUCCAGUCAGGUAUUUCAGGUUGAUGGAGUAGGCCUGAGCACUUCUGGUGUUCUAUUUUUAUCUUGGCGCAAGUUAAGCACUUGCUCACAUAGGUGGCAAUUUCUGCUUUCAUGUUUGGCCACCAGUAGAGUUGCUUGAGAUCUAGAUACAUCUUAUCUGACCCUGGGUGCACGGAGUAUGGAGUCUUGUGUGCUUCGUUCAUAACUACCUCUUUGAACCCACCAAAAUUGGGUGUCCAAAUUCGGUUCAUGAGGUAGCGUACUCCGUCACUCCAGAUUUCUAGGUUCUUGUCCAUUCCUCUAAGGGCUUCGCCUGUCAUGUUCUUGGGUUUCAAGGCUUCUAUUUGAGCUUCCUUGACUUGUGCUGACAGAUGCGAAUGGAUUGACAUGGUUAAGGACUUCACUCUUCGCCCAGAGUACUCCUUACGACUAAGGGCCUCAGCCACAACAUUUGCCUUUCCCGGAUGAUAGCGAAUCUCACAUUCGUAGUCGUUGAGCAAUUCGACCCAACGUCGUUGUCUCAUGUUUAAUUCCUUAUGGUCGAAUAUGUGUUGAAGGCUUUUGUGGUCUGUAAAGAUGGUGCAUUUUGUACCGUAUAGGUAGUGCCUCCAGAUUUUCAGAGCGAAGACCACCGCUCCAAGUUCUAAGUCAUGAGUGGUGUAGUUGACUUCAUGUUUUUUUAGUUGUCGUUAGGCAUAUGCAAUAACCUUUCCUCUCUGCAUUAGUACACAGCCCAGCCCUUGUUUCGAAGCGUCGCAAUAGACCACAAAAUCUUCGGUCCCCUUUGGAAGAGAAAGAAUGGGCGCACUACAAAGGGCCUGUUUCAGAGUCUGAAAUGCAACAUCUUGCUUUUCUCCCCAGCUGUAGGUCACACCUUUCUGAGUUAGGGCGGUAAGAGGCUUUGCGAUGCUGGAGAAGUUCUGAAUGAACCUUCGAUAAUAACCAGAAAGACCUAGAAAUUGGCGAAUCUUUGUUGGUGUAUUUGGUGCAGACUAAUUUUUGAUAGCUAUGAUUUUAGAUGGGUCCAUGUGGAUUCCUUCCUUGCUGACCACGUGACCGAGGAAGUCCACCUUUCUAAUCCAAAACUCGCAUUUUGAGAACUUCGCAUAAAGUCUCUUAGUUCGUAACGUCUCUAAGACUUGUCUCAGAUGUUGGCUAUGCUCUUCUUUAUUGUUUGAAUAAAUGAGUAUGUCGUCUAUGAAUACUAUCACAAAUUUAUCCAAGAAUGGAUGACAUACCCGAUUCAUUAGAUCCAUGAAUACGGCCGGGGCAUUGGUUAGUCCGAACGGCAUCACUACGAACUCGUAAUGCCCGUAUCUUGUUCGGAAGGCCGUCUUGGGAACAUCACUCUCCAGGACUCGCAGCUGGUGAUAUCCUGAUCUCAGAUUGAUCUUGGAGAAGUAGUUGGCUCCUUGGAGUUGGUCGAACAAGUCAUCGAUUCGGGGUAGGGGAUAUCGGUUCUUGAUGGUAAGUUUGUUGAGUUCUCGGUUGUCGAUGCACAUCCUGAAUGAUCCAUCCUUCUUUUUCACGAAUAACACGGGUGCUCCCCAAGGCGAGAAGCUCGGCCUGAGGAAUCCUUUGCCGAGUAGCUCAUUCAGUUGGUUGGAUAGCUCCUGCAUCUCUGCUGGGGCUAAUCGAUAGGGCGCCUUGGCUACUGGGGUAGCUCCGGGAAUCAGAUCGAUUCUGAACUCGACUUGUCUCGCGGGUGGUAUUCCUGGAAGGUCCUCGGGAAAAACAUUGGGAAAAUCGCAUACGUCAGGCACAUUCUUGACGUCCUGGACUUCGCGUUUCACAUCCACGACAUGUGCCAAAAACGCAUGAUAUUUCUUGCGUAGGCACUUCUGAGCUUGGAUACUUGAGAUUAUACGAAGAGUGGCACUGGAUUUGUCGCCCAAGAUAAUGAAAGUUUUGACGGUUGGCAGAUUAAGGCGAACGACCUUAUCGUAACAUAAAAUGUCCGCAUGAUGAGAACUCAGCCAAUCCAUGCCUAUGAUGACAUCGAAACUCUUAAUCGAGACUGGCAUGAGGUUGAUUGGAAAGGGAUUAUCUUUUAGAGUUAGGGUACAGUUUAAGUAUAUCUCCUUAGUGCCUUCUGUUUUACCGUUGGCCAUUUCUACUAUAAACGGUUCACUUAAUGAUUGUGGUGUUGGUUUUAGCAGGCCUUUAAAAUCAUGACUCACAAAACUUCUCUCCGCUCCACUAUCAAACAAAAUGCAUGCAUACGAGUUAUCGAGAAGAAACAUACCCGUAACAAUAGUGGGGUCCGCAACAGCUUCAUCUUGUCCCAUUGCGAACACUCGGCCCAUUCCGCCGGUAUUCCUGUUGUUUGCCUUCAGGCAAUCCCUGCGGUAGUGUCCCAUGUCUCCGCACUCAAAGCAGGCGUGGCUUACUCCGGUAUUAGCAGUGGGGGCGGAUUGUUGGGUUGGCUCCUUGCAGUAGCGGGUUGUAUGCCCCUUCUUAUUGCACCUAGUGCAUUGGAGGUCAUGGCAGAGACCGUGGUGGUGGAAGUUACAUUGGUUACAUUUCGGAAGUUUCCCAUUGUAUGAGCUUGUGGGGGCAGUGAUGGUAGGUACAGUAAUAGCGUGGGUCGCUACCACUUGUUGUUUCUUGGGGUUCUCCUGUAGGGUUUGUCCCCUUCUCUUGUUCCAAGGCCUACCCUGGCCCUGUACCUCCUUAGAUGGAUUUGCGGUAGCUGCAAUGGUACCCUGUUUUACCCCGUCGUUGAUGAUUCACUGAGCCAGGCGUUUAGCGUUGUUGAAAGUGAUAGGGUUGGAAGCUAGGACAUGACCAUGAAUCUGGGGUGACAACCCCCAAAUGUACCUUUCAACCUUUUUCGAUUUUGGGUUGACCAUGGUAGGGCACAAUGCAGCGAGGUCGCUGAACCUAGCUGUGUAGGCGACUAGAUCAGACCCAGUCAUCUUCAGAUUCCAGAGCUCUUGCUCAAGUUUUUGCACUUCACCCCUUGGGCAGUAUUCUUCCAAUAGUAGAAUCUUCAGAUCCUCCCAACUCAUGGCAUUGGCAACAGUGAGAGUCACCGAAUUCACAUGGCUUUUCCACCAAGUGAGGGCUCGAUCAAUGAAGGUGCAAGUAGCGAACUUGACUUUGCUUGCUUCUUGGCAUGAGCAGAUCUCGAAGACCGUUUCGGUCUCUUUGAACCAUUUCAUUAGUGCAAUGACUCCCCCAGUUCCAUUAAAAGUUUUUGGCUUUGCAUUGGAGAACUCCUUGUAAGUACAUUCCCUUACUUGACCAUGACCAGUGUCGCGAUUGGAAUGAUUCGUGCUGCUUCCUGUCCCUCCAUUUCCGUUGGAGUUUAUUUGUGAGAGGGCUGCAGUUACUGUUGUUGUGAUAGCAGCCUGGACCAUGGCCGGAUCAUAAGUUUGUGGUGGAGGUGGUGGUAGUGUUGUGCCCGGUCUGGGUCUUAGGUUUGGACGAGGAGGCAUCGCGCUGCCAAAAGAAAAUGAAAGAUUAUAAGUUUUGGUGGUUGAGAGUUGAAUGAUAUUGAGUUAACUCUCUUUAAUAGUUCAAGAAUUUGGUUUGACCAACACAAGGUUUUGAGUUCGAUUUACAAAUGGAGUUUGAAUAGAUAUACUCACGAAUUGAAUGAACUGCACAUAAUUAACAUACGAAAGAGAUAUGCCCUAUAUAUAUUAAACAUAUGGUUGUGUUACAUUCGAGUUUAGACAAAAUUUUUUGACCUUUCUAAAGGUCUCCGAUUACAGAAAGUUUAAAGAAAAUAAUACUUUUAGCCGAAGUCCUAACUUAUAACAAAAUUUGAAAGUCGGGCAAGUACUACAUGCGGCGCGGUUUGCGUUUGGAGCUUGACUCCGUGUAUGAAUGUUUUGACUCCAUGAGGUGCCUAUCAAACGCGGCUUGUUGUUCCCUUAUUUAUGUUAUUGUUGCGAUCAUGGAAUUCAGUUGUUCUUGGAGGGCAUUAGUGUGGUCUAGGCCAUACCCUUGCAACCUAUCCAAACAGCGGAUGUCGGAAGUGUGCACUUGCACUUCCACAUUGACCUCGUGGAUCCGGUUGGCUUGAACUCCGGAUCGAUAGCACUUUGCCAACCAUGACUGGUUGGCUAUUUUGCCAACCAUGACUGGGAGUGCUCGGUCCGCCGAACCCCCGCCUCUGACAUCGUAGAAGUCUCGGCACAUGCCGUAGGGAGGGCGUAAGCUUUGUUGUUGGCUCCAAUGGUGAUGGUGACUCCCCCAUACGGGAGUGGGUCCUUGGAAGUUCCUCACAUAGACGGGAGGUUGCGGGGCUGGUGGAUUGAUUACCUCUGGCUCCGAAUCUGUACCAGAGUCCUCUCCUUCAUCCAACUCUAUAGGUUCUUCGUCUUCUUCGGGAUCUUCUUCGAUCCAUCCUCCAUUACAUUGGUUGGGGUAGGAGGGGUCACCGGGGUGAUGGAAUCCAGCCAUUGAGUCUAUAUGAGAAUAGGGUUAAGAAUUGACUAUAAGCUAAAGCACAUGAAAUUUACCCUUAAGUUUAAUGGUUGUAGAUACUCAAAUACUCCCUUAGUAUUCUUUAACGAUAUGCUUUUGGUAAGCUUUAAAUUUGUUGUCCACUGCAGACACUCCUUGGCACACGUUAGUCGGCUCUCGGAAAAAUAUAGUUGAUCAGGCUAUAUUCUUGCCAGUUCCGAUUACACGUCCCACGGCAUACCUGCACUGCACAACUUAUUUAUAAAACUUCUAUAAUCAUCUGUAUAUGAAACUAUUAUUAGUAUGAAAUGAGUGCAUGCCUAUUUUACCAAAAACUAAAUAGAUUUAAUUUAAAAAAAGUAUGACUCUUACUCAGAGUGUUUUUGCCGAGUUGUGUUUAUAGUUGUAUACCAAAAAUGGUUUUGAUAUACUUAAUUCCCUAUACACAAUGCUCUGAUACCAAUCUGUCACACCCCCAAACCAGAACGGCGGAAACGUUCGGGGGCGGAGGACGUCAUGUUCAAUAUCAUAACAGUUCAUAGAAAGGAAAGUACACACCACCAUAUAUAUAAAGGUUUUCAAAGUGUUUACAUAAUUGUAUUCGUUACAUGUUCAAAAGAUAAAUACAUAAAUAUCUUUCAAAAGAAGUAAUCAACGUCAACGCGUUAAUCCCCAAAAGUUGAUUUCCAAACCUGCUUAGCGGUUCCCUGAGAAUACAAGUUAUUUCAAAGAAAAGUGUCAACAAUUAAGUUGGUGAGUUCAUAAGCGGUUUUGAGAAAUUGUAUGCCAUUCCAAAAUGAGUGUAUAUUUUCCAAGAAAAUCCCUUAUUUUCUUACAAAAGUAUGAAAUGCAUGAAAAUAUUUGUGUUGUAAAAUGUAGAUAGUUGAAUCAAGAAAAUCCCUUAUUUUCCUAUUAGUUGUUUGUUUUGUAUACAGGAAAAUCCCAUAUUUUCCUAAAGUAACAAGUAGUCUAAUGUCCAAUACUAAAAACCGAAAGCAAUUGACAUGCUUUAGAAGAUUGAAGCAUAUUUUUAUAUAAUAAAACCUAUAAGAAGAUCGUAGUUGUUAGAUAAAGAGUAGUUUUAAUAGCUACUCAUUCAUAAUCCAGAAGUACUAUAAUAAUUGUAUAUCCGAUGAGUUUUAUAACCAUACUAAACAUAAUAUGUCUAUAGCGACGUUCUUCAGGCGUCGUAGCGUUAUGACAAACUGUCACCCCAAAGGACGGACUGUAGCUAACAGUCAGGGCGCGGGAUCAUGACUUCCCGUAUAGAUCUAUACACAUUUGACAUGUUCCCCCAACGGGAGACUCUGGUUAUAGACAGGACUUGAAGUGGUGCCUUUUAGCAAAAAGGUAGUAUUUGAAGAUGUACAUGUCUCACGGAUUCUUAGCUAAGUCUGUAUUAAAGUAAUAGUUUUGUAUGCAAAGUUUAUCCAUUUUCACAAUGUUUGACAAAGCAUAAGUCAUAAGUUCUUUGAAUGCAUAAAACGGUUUAACAAUGAUGGCUACUUCGGAUACUAUGUACUUUGUAUAAAUCUAGUGUAUGUAAAGUAUAACAAGAGUUUUCAUAUAAUAGUUAUGAAACACAUAUGAUUCAUUUGAUAAAAAAAGUAAAGUGAAACUUUAUGUAACACACGAUAAUAACCGUGUGUUUACUUGUAUUCUCCCCCGAAAUGUAUUAAACGUACAUUAUAAAGUAUUUGAAAGUGUAUGGAAGGGGGUAUGAACUCACUUGAUAGAUUGAAGAAGGUGAGACGAAAACCGAGCAGAACUUUGACUUGAAAAAGCGGAUUUUCUUGGGAAUCUCGGGAGCGUAAAACUUUCUUCGGGGCCUGAGUAUGGUAACCAGGGCUUCGGGAUAAAUAUUGCACGGAAAACGACGCAAAAACGCAAGAAAGAUGAGAGGAAAUGAGCAAUUUCCCCAGAACCCUCGCAUCCCUUUUAUAAGGGGCUGAACCGCCUCGUUACGCUGGGCGUACGCGUGCGUCAUGCGUGACCGAGUCCUCGACUGCCUCGGAGCCCGGAUGGGACGGGGCAUAGCCUCGCAUAGGGGGCGACGUGGACGAUCCGGGUCCUAGUCCUUGAGUACGCUGGGCGUACGAGGGUACGCUGGGCGUAACUCGGAUGGACCCGGUGACUCCUUCUUCGGAUGUUACCAAAUUUUUAUUUAAAUUUAUCCUUUUAUUAAAUAGUAAACUUCAAAAAUUCAUAUCUUCUCCAUACGAACUCCGUUUUCGACGUUCAUUAUAUCCACGAAUAGGUGAGACUACGCUCUACGACUUUCAUUUAGACUCCGUCGGCUAAUUUUGAAUUUAAUUUUAUUAUUUAUUUUUAAAAGGUCGGGACAGGAAAAGUUCGUUAAAAAUUCAUAACUUCUUCAUACGAAGUCAGAUUUGGGCGAUCUUUUUAUGUAUGUUCGUGGUUUAAUGAUAUAUAUGACUUUCAUUUAGAUACCUAAGGUCAAAAAGUACUUUAUUGAAAUUUCUCGUUUUAUGCUUAACAACGUUUUACCGUUAGCUGUUACGAAUCUUUGAUUGGUCAUAACUCCUUCGUUAUAACUCGGAUUUUUGUGUUCUUUAUAUUUUUGGAAACCUUAACAUGCCAUCUACCACUUAGUAUACUCAAACAGGGUUUCUUUGAACAUUUCAUUUUUGAUGAUAUUGCUUAUAAUUUCACAAAGAGAUUACAAUACUUGACUUUUUAGCCAUUUCAUUGACCUGAAAUAACGGGUUGUUACAAUGCCUCAAUGUCAAAAACUCCUGAGCAAGCCGCUCCUGCUUAACGCGUGGAACGUAGCAGGUGCAAAACAUAUCCCGGAACCGCUCCCAAGUAAUAACAGCUCUCUGAUCAAUAGUAUAUGAUGUGGUCGUCAAUCUCCACCAAUCCUUGGGCCCAAGGCUCGGCAGGGUAAGGGCACACCUGACCUUUUUGUCAGUAGGGGAUGAACACAUGAAGAAACAGUCCUCCACAUCGGAUAACCACCUCAUAGCCCUGAUCGCAUCCUGUGUACCAUCAAACAUCAGGGGCUACGUGUUAUCAAAGUCCCGGUACUGGAAAGCCCUGUCCGCUCCUCCUCCAACCACUGUCGCGGUUACAACCGAUGUGGCUACAGCGGCAGCUGUCUCUACUAGAGCUACAUAUCGCUCAACAAAGUACUCAACCAUCGCGGUCUUGAUCGAACCAAAUAUCUAUGAUAGCUGGUCUUGGAACAUCACAGCAAUCUCGUCAUGCAGAAUCACUCAGAUCAUGGCAUCUAACUCCUCUGUCCCUAUCUGUACCACAGGCUCUGGUGCUACCGGCACCUCCGACCCUCCGUCCCCCGAUCCUGAUCCUGAUCAUGAUCCUGACUCGGAUCCAGUAGUAAAACAUCUCGUCACCACCAUACUGAAAAAAUAUACCCAAGAUGUCAGAUAAACAACAUAAUAUCGGGAGACCAAUACCCACAAACCCUAGGGGUUGUGACUUCCUUGCUACGAGUAUGGGUCCUGUGCUUUCAUUAGUACGGGCCCAUACUACCUUCCACACCUACCCAUAUUUGUCCCAAGUAUCACCAUAAUACCCUAACACUAUCAUCAACAUAAUAUGUGCUCAACCCUCACUCCUAGGGGAACAUCGCUUAUAUCGCAACUGAUCUCACAGCUCCUCACAACUCACACCUCCAUGAAACUUUCAUCAACCCCUACAGUGCAGCGCAUGCUAGUUGCACAUAACACUAGACCCAAUAGACUUUCAAAUAUCUAAUCCUAUUCAAAGACUGAAUCAAACAUUCUCAGGCUAUAAGAUCUUGUUUACGCACAACCAUGAUGCAUACUCUAACGACUACAAUAAUGAUGUCAAUUCCGUAUACAAGAAACCCUAGGCUAGUAGGCAUCAUAUAAUCAGGCAAGUCUAUCAUGCGAUUCCUGAAGAUCCCUAGCCUAGCACUAGCAAGUUGUUCUAACAUAUCAUAAUAUCAAAUAACUGUAUGGUAUUUUGGGGUUUACUUACAGGCUCCGACUGAUCAUACCCUCUACAUCCUUCAUCCUUUAUUUUGAAAACCAUUUUUAAAAAAUAAAAUUAUUUUCUGAAAUUUCCCUUGAUUUGAUACUGGAUUCACACGAGUGUUCCUCCAAUUCACUCAAGCAAUGGCUCUGAUACCAACUUGUAACAACCAAAAAAUUUAUGCCAAAUUUAAAUUUUUUCAAUCAUAAAUAACACCAAAUAGCAUUGUUUACAGAAAAUGGUUUCAAAUCAUUAUUCAAUCAGAGUGUCCCAUAAGCCAGAUCACAAUGGCUCUGAUACCACACUGAUAAUAUCAUAUCAGUAGUAAUCAAUCAAUCAACAUGCAUACUGGGCCAUCGGCCUGACUGGACCCCGCUACAGGGCCUACAGUCUAGCUGAAUCUAUAUCGAGCCUUCGCAAUGACUGGACCGCCACAUGACCUACAGUCUCCCCGGACCGCUCAUAGGGUAUGUUGCCCUUCAGCACAAAGCAGGACCGCCUCAACCCAACCAACGAGCAAAUAAUCAGGUACGCAUAGCUAACAUACACUGGCAUAUACAUACAUCAAACAUAUCUAAUUCACUAAUCAUCAAUCAUAGCAAUCUCUCAUGACUAGAGCACCGACCUAGCAUGCCACUAACAUACCAAUCCUUAAGGAUCAUAAAAGCAUAACAUACUGUCUAUCCUGAUGCAGAUCUAUCAGAUCAUAACCGCAUAUAUCAUAUCAUAUCCAUAACAACUAAAGGGUCAGCCUUGGUGCCUUAGACCCUUGUGAUAUAGUGAGGAUAACUCACCUGGCAGAUGUCGACUCGGUAGAUAAACUCCAACUCUCGGAUCACUUGCCCAAGACUCCACCACCUAUUACCAUAAUACGAAUAUACCCAUAAGUCCUCAACCUUACAAGGUACUCCCUAAACCAAGUAGCCACCCCCUGGUCAAGGUCAAAGUUCUCAGUCAAGGUCAAUAGUCCAUGUUGACCUUAACUCGCCGAGUACCCUCGGCUACUCACCGAGUUCCUUGAAGUACUUUCCCACUCGUCGAGUCACCGGGGUGGCUCGUAGAGUUCCUUCGGUCUACGAUCAAAACUCUACGGCCACUCGUCAAGUUUCCUUCAUGCAACCCGACGGAUAUGCACGUAUACAUAACUUGGGGAAAUCUCAUCCGACUCGCCGACUUGUUCAAACAACUCGUCGAGUAUAUGGAAAUCUUCAACGGACUCGCCGAGUUGUUCUUCCAACUCGUUGAGUUCACGCCUAUCUUCAUAUGACUCGCCGAGUCGACCAUGCGACUCGCCGAGUCCCUUCAGUCCUUUUGCCAUACAGACUCAUUUGAGUCAUGCAGCGGAUCCAAACUACAGAUCCAAGCUUCUAUGGCAUGGUUUUCACAUAAAGUUGCAAAGUCUUUGUUCAUGCAUAGCUAUAAAGGCUCUAAAUGUCCAAUCCAAGCCCAUAAUGGGGUUUCCUACCCAAGGAAGGUUUCAUUCACGUCCAAAACAGAAAGUUUAUGACUCUAGGACUUGAGAAGGGUCUAGAUCUGAAGUUACAACUUCAGAUCUAGCCCAUAGUCCACCUUAUCAACUCAAAGAUCCAUAAAAGCCCCAAAACUCAACCAAAAGGAGGUCUAGAAGGGAAAAGAAGUAAAGGUGGGGACUUGAUACCUCUAGAAGAUACUAACUGAGGUAGAUUCUGAUUGCCACACUUUCCUGGAUCCAAUUCCCUCGCCUUCCAAGUUCCUUCUCUCCUAAGAUCUUCCUCCCAAGCUUAAUACACCCACAAUAAAGCACCACACCAAUUAGGGUUUCUUAAGAGCUCUCUAGAACUGUAUAGAGGCCAAAGGAGGCUUAAGCCUCCUUAAAUAGGGUGAAAAACCCCAGGAUUUAGGGUUUCAUCAGCCAGUUCCUACUCGUCGAGUUCCUUCAUGGACUCGACGAGUAGGUCACUAAACACACGAUUCCACCCCGCUGCUACUCGACGAGUAAGGCAACCAAAUCGUUGAGUAGGACUCAAACCAAAGAAAUCAAUACAUGAGAAUCGGGGCGUUACAAUUCUCCUCCACUUGAACAAGACUUCGCCCUUGAAGUCCUCUGGAAUAAACAAUGCCGGGUAGUGCUCGCGCAUCUCCGCCUCCGGCUCCCAUGUCCACUCAGAUCCCCUCCGAUGUUCCCACUGUACCAUCACCAAAGGUAUUUCCUUGUUCUGUAAAAUCUUAUUCUUCCUCUCCAAGAUGGCAACAGGCCUCUCCACGUAUGUCAUGCGGUCAUCAACCUGAAUAUCAUCCAACGAUCCUACCUCCUCCUGGUCCAUGAUGUACUUUCGCAACUGCGAAAUAUGGAACGUGCUGUGGAUCCGGCUAAGCUCCGUCGGAAGCUCAAGCCUAUAAGUCACUUUUCUAACCCUGGCAAUGAUCUUGAACGACCCAAUAUAACGGUACGGUCAUGCCUUCUCUUUGCCAUGAUCUCCUGAAAUACCUGAAACAAUCAACUGAAAACUGUAAGCCCGAGGGCUUAGUGAGCUACCCCCAACAUACCAAUACCACACUGAUAAUAUCAUAUCAGUAGUAAUCAAUCAAUCAACAUGCAUACUGGGCCAUCGGCCUGAGUGGACCCCCUAAAGGGCCUACAGUCUAGAUGAAUCUAUAUCGAGCCUUCGGCAUGAUUGGAUCGCCACGUGGCCUACAGUCUCCCCGGACCGCUCAUAGGGUAUGUUGCCCUUCAGCACAAAGCAGGACCGCCUCAACCCAACCAACGAGCAAAUAAUCAGGUACGCAUAGCUAACAUACACUGGCAUAUACAUACAUCAAACAUAUCUAAUUCACUAAUCAUCAAUCAUAGCAAUCUCUCAUGACUAGGGCACCGACCUAGCAUGCCACUAACAUACCAAUCCCUAAGGAUCAUAAAAGCAUAACAUACUGUCUAUCCUGAUUCAAAUCUAUCAGAUCAUAACCGCAUAUAUAAUAUCAUAUUCAUAACAACUAAAGGGCCGGCCUUGGUGCCUUAGACCCUUGUGAUAUAGUGAGGAUAACUCACCUCGCAGAUGUCGACUCGGUAGAUAAACUCCAACUCUCGGAUCACUUGUCCAAGACUCCAACACCUAUUACCAUAAUACGAAUAUACCCAUAGGUCCUCAACCUUACAAGGUACUCCCAAAACCAAGUAGUCACUCCCUGGUCAAGGUCAAAGUUCUCAGUCAAGGUCAACAGUCCAUGUUGACCUUAACUCGCCGGGUACCCUCGGCUACUCACCGAGUUCCUUGAAGUACUUGCCCACUCGUCGAGUCACCGGGGUGACUCGUAGAGUUCCUUCGGUCUACGAUCGAAACUCUACGGCCACUCGUCGAGUUUCCUUCAUGCAACCCGACGGAUACGCACGCAUACAUAACUUGGGGAAAUCUCAUCCGACUCGCCGACUUAUUCAAACAACUCGUCGAGUAUAUGGAAAUCUUCAACGGACUCGCCGAGUUGUUCUUCCAACUCAUUGAGUUCACGCCUAUCUUCAUAUGACUCGCCGAGUCGACCAUGCGACUCGCCGAGUCCCUUCAGUCCUUUUGCCAUACAGACUCAUUUGAGUCAUGCAGCGGAUCCAAACUACAGAUCCAAGCUUCUAUGGCAUGGUUUUCACAUAAAGUUGCAAAGUCUACGUUCAUGCAUAGCUAUAAAGGCUCUAAAUGUCCAAUCCAAGCCCAUAAUGGGGUUUCCUACCCAAGGAAGGUUUCAUUCACGUCCAAAACAGAAAGUUUAUGACUCUAGGACUUGAGAAGGGUCUAGAUCUGAAGUUACAACUUCAGAUCUAGCCCAUAGUCCACCUUAUCAACUCAAAGAUCCAUAAAAGCCCCAAAACUCAACCAAAAAGAGGUCUAGAAGGGAAAAGAAGUAAAGGUGGGGACUUGAUACCUCUAGAAGAUGCUAACUGAGGUAGAUUCUGAUUGCCACACUUUCCUGGAUCCAAUUCCCUCGCCUUCCAAGUUCCUUCUCUCCUACGAUCUUCCUCCUAAGCUUAAUACACCCACAAUAAAGCACCACACCAAUUAGGGUUUCUUAAGAGCUCUCUAGAACUGUAAAGAGGCCAAAGGAGGCUUAAGCCUCCUUAAAUAGGGUGAAAAACCCCAGGAUUUAGGGUUUCAUCAGCCAGUUCCUACUCGUCGAGUUCCUUCAUGGACUCGGCAAGUAGGUCACUAAACACACGAUUCCACCCCGCUGCUACUCGACGAGUAAGGUAAGCAACUCGUCGAGUAGGACUCAAACCAAAGAAAUCAAUACAUGAGAAUCGGGGCGUUACAAUUCUCCUCCACUUGAACAAGACUUCGCCCUUGAAGUCCUCUGGAAUAAACAAUGCCGGGUAGUUCUCGCGCAUCUCCGCCUCCGGCUCCCAUGUCCACUCAGAUCCCCUACGAUGUUCCCAUUGUACCUUCACCAAAGGUAUUUCCUUGUUCUGUAAAAUCUUAUUCUUCCUCUCCAAGAUGGCAACAGGCCUCUCCACGUAUGUCAUGCGGUCAUCAACCUGAAUAUCAUCCAACGAUCCUACUGCCUCCUGGUCCAUGAUGUACUUUCGCAACUGCGAAAUAUGGAACGUGCUGUGGAUCCGGCUAAGCUCCGUCGGAAGCUCAAGCCUAUAAGUCACUUUUCUAACCCUGGCAAUGAUCUUGAACGACCCAAUAUAACGGUACGGUCAUGCCUUCUCUUUGCCAUGAUCUCCUGAAAUACCUGAAACAAUCAACUGAAAACUGUAAGCCCGAGGGCUUAGUGAGCUACCCCCAACAUACCAAUACCACACUGAUAAUAUCAUAUCAGUAGUAAUCAAUCAAUACACAUGCAUACUGGGCCAUCGGCCUAACUGAACUCCACUACAGGCCCUACAGUCUAGUUGAAUCUAUAUCGAGCCUUUCGCAUGACUGGACCGCCAUGUGGCCUACUGUCUCCCCUGACGGCUCAUAGGGUAUGUUGGCCUUCAGCACAAAGCAGGACCGCCUCAACCCAACCAACGAGCAAAUAAUCAGGUACGCAUAGCUAACAUACACUGGCAUAUACAUACAUCAAACAUGUCUAAUUCACUAAUCAUCAAUCAUAACAAUCUCUCAUGACUAGAGCACCGACCUAGCAUGCCACUAACAUACCAAUCCCUAAGGAUCAUAAAAGCAUAACAUAUUGUCUAUCCUGAUUCAGAUCUAUCAGAUCAUAAACGCAUAUAUCAUAUCAUAUCCAUAACAACUAAAGGGUCGGCCUUGGUGCCUUAGACCCUUGUGAUAUAAUGAGGAUAACUCACCUCGCAGAUGUUGACUCGGUAGAUAAACUCAAACUCUCGGAUCACUUGCCCAAGACUCCACCACCUAUUACCAUAAUAUGAAUAUACCCAUAAGUCCUCAACCUUACAUGGUACUCCCUAAACCAAGUAGUCACCCCCUGGUCAAGUUCAAAGUUCUCAGUCAAGGUCAACAGUCGAUGUUGACCUUAACUCGCCGAGUACCCUCGGCUACUCACCGAGUUCCUUGAAGUACUUUCCCACUCGUCGAGUCACCGGGGUGGCUCGUAGAGUUCCUUCGGUCUACGAUCAAAACUCUACGGCCACUCGUCAAGUUUCCUUCAUGCAACCCGACGGAUAUGCACGUAUACAUAACUUGGGGAAAUCUCAUCCGACUCGCCGACUUGUUCAAACAACUCGUCGAGUAUAUGGAAAUCUUCAACGGACUCGCCGAGUUGUUCUUCCAACUCAAUUAGUUCACGCCUAUCUUCAUAUGACUCGCCGAGUCGACCAUGCGACUCGCCGAGUCCCUUCAGUCCUUUUGCCAUACAGACUCAUUUGAGUCAUGCAGCAGCUCCAAACUACAGAUCCAAGCUACUAAGGCAUGGUUUUCACAUAAAGUUGCAAAGUCUACGUUCAUGCAUGGAUAUAAAGGCUCUAAAUGCCCAAUCGAAGCCCAUAAUGGGGUUUCCUACCCAAGGAAGGUUUCAUUCACGUCCAAACCAGAAACUUUAUGACUCUAGGACUUGAGAAGGGUCUAGAUCUGAAGUUACAACUUCAGAUCUAGCCCAUAGUCCACCUUAUCAACUCAAAGAUCCAUAAAAGCCCCAAAACUCAACCAAAAAGAAGUCUAGAAGGGAAAAGAAGUAAAGGUGGCGACUUGAUACCUCUAGAAGAUGCUAACUGAGCUAGAUUCUGAUUGCCACACUUUCCUGGAUCCAAUUCCCUCGCCUUCCAAGUUCCUUCUCUCCUAAGAUCUUCCUCCCAAGCUUAAUACACCCACAAUAAAGCACCACACCAAUUAGGGUUUCUUAAGAGCUCUCUAGAACUGUAUAGAGGCCAAAGGAGGCUUAAGCCUCCUUAAAUAGGGUGAAAAACCCCAGGAUUUAGGGUUUCAUCAGCCAGUUCCUACUCGUCGAGUUCCUUCAUGGACUCGGCAAGUAGGUCACUAAACACACGAUUCCACCCCGCUGCUACUCGACGAGUAAGGUAAGCAACUCGUCGAGUAGGACUCAAACCAAAGAAAUCAAUACAUGAGAAUCGGGGCGUUACAAUUCUCCUCCACUUGAACAAGACUUCGCCCUUGAAGUCCUCUGGAAUAAACAAUGCCGGGUAGUUCUCGCGCAUCUCCGCCUCCGGCUCCCAUGUCCACUCAGAUCCCCUACGAUGUUCCCAUUGUACCUUCACCAAAGGUAUUUCCUUGUUCUGUAAAAUCUUAUUCUUCCUCUCCAAGAUGGCAACAGGCCUCUCCACGUAUGUCAUGCGGUCAUCAACCUGAAUAUCAUCCAACGAUCCUACCUCCUCCUGGUCCAUGAUGUACUUUCGCAACUGCGAAAUAUGGAACGUGCUGUGGAUCCGGCUAAGCUCCGUCGGAAGCUCAAGCCUAUAAGUCACUUUUCCAACCCUGGCAAUGAUCCUGAACGACCCAAUAUAACGGUACGGUCACGCCUUCGCCUUGCCAUGAUCUCCUGAAGUCCCUGAAACAAUAAACUAAAAACUGUAAGCCCGAGGGCUUAGUGAGCUACCCCCAAAAUACCAAUACCACACUGAUAAUAUCAUAUCAGUAGUAAUCAAUCAAUACACAUGCAUACUGGGCCAUCGGCCUAACUGAACUCCACUACAGGCCCUACAGUCUAGUUGAAUCUAUAUCGAGCCUUUCGCAUGACUGGACCGCCAUGUGGCCUACUGUCUCCCCUGACGGCUCAUAGGGUAUGUUGGCCUUCAGCACAAAGCAGGACCGCCUCAACCCAACCAACGAGCAAAUAAUCAGGUACGCAUAGCUAACAUACACUGGCAUAUACAUACAUCAAACAUGUCUAAUUCACUAAUCAUCAAUCAUAACAAUCUCUCAUGACUAGAGCACCGACCUAGCAUGCCACUAACAUACCAAUCCCUAAGGAUCAUAAAAGCAUAACAUAUUGUCUAUCCUGAUUCAGAUCUAUCAGAUCAUAAACGCAUAUAUCAUAUCAUAUCCAUAACAACUAAAGGGUCGGCCUUGGUGCCUUAGACCCUUGUGAUAUAAUGAGGAUAACUCACCUCGCAGAUGUUGACUCGGUAGAUAAACUCAAACUCUCGGAUCACUUGCCCAAGACUCCACCACCUAUUACCAUAAUAUGAAUAUACCCAUAAGUCCUCAACCUUACAUGGUACUCCCUAAACCAAGUAGUCACCCCCUGGUCAAGUUCAAAGUUCUCAGUCAAGGUCAACAGUCGAUGUUGACCUUAACUCGCCGAGUACCCUCGGCUACUCACCGAGGUCCUUGAAGCACUUUCCCACUCGUCGAGUCACCGGGGUGGCUCGUAGAGUUCCUUCGGUCUACGAUCAAAACUCUACGGCCACUCGUCAAGUUUCCUUCAUGCAACCCGACGGAUAUGCACGUAUACAUAACUUGGGGAAAUCUCAUCCGACUCGCCGACUUGUUCAAACAACUCGUCGAGUAUAUGGAAAUCUUCAACGGACUCGCCGAGUUGUUCUUCCAACUCAAUUAGUUCACGCCUAUCUUCAUAUGACUCGCCGAGCCGACCAUGCGACUCGCCGAGUCCCUUCAGUCCUUUUGCCAUACAGACUCAUUUGAGUCAUGCAGCAGCUCCAAACUACAGAUCCAAGCUACUAAGGCAUGGUUUUCACAUAAAGUUGCAAAGUCUACGUUCAUGCAUGGAUAUAAAGGCUCUAAAUGCCCAAUCGAAGCCCAUAAUGGGGUUUCCUACCCAAGGAAGGUUUCAUUCACGUCCAAACCAGAAACUUUAUGACUCUAGGACUUGAGGGGUCUAGAUNCUAGAUCUGAAGUUACAACUUCAGAUCUAGCCCAUAGUCCACCUUAUCAACUCAAAGAUCCAUAAAAGCCCCAAAACUCAACCAAAAAGAAGUCUAGAAGGGAAAAGAAGUAAAGGUGGCGACUUGAUACCUCUAGAAGAUGCUAACUGAGCUAGAUUCUGAUUGCCACACUUUCCUGGAUCCAAUUCCCUCGCCUUCCAAGUUCCUUCUCUCCUAAGAUCUUCCUCCUAAGCUUAAUACACCCACAAUAAAGCACCACACGAAUUAGGGUUUCUUAACAGCUCUCUAGAACUGUAAAGAGGCCAAAGGAGGCUUAAGCCUGCUUAAAUAGGGUGCAAAACCCCUGGAUUUAGGGUUUCAUCAGCUAGUUCCUACUCGUCGAAUUCCUUCAUGGACUCGGCGAGUAGGUCACUAAACACACGAUUCCACCCCGCUGCUACUCGACGAGUAAGGCAACCAAGUCGUUUAAUAGGACUUAAACCAAAGAAAUCAAUACCUGAGAAUCGGGGCGUUACAAUUCUCCUCCAUUUGAACUAGACUUCGCCCUUGAAGUCCUUUGGAAUAAACAAUGCCGGGUAGUGCUCGCGCAUCUCCGCCUCUGGCUCCUAUGUCCACUCAGAUCCCCUCCGAUGUUCUCACUGUACCUUCACCUAAGGUAUUUCCUUGUUCCGUAAAAUCUUAUUCUUCCUCUCCAAGAUGGAAACAGGCCUUUCCACGUAAUUCAUGUGGUCAUCAACCUGAAUAUCAUCCAGCGAUACUGCUGCCUCCUGGUCCAUGAUACACUUUCGCAACUGCGAAACACGGAACGUGCUGUGGAUCCGGCUAAGCUCCAUCGGAAGCUCAAGCCUAUAAGUCACUUUUCCAACCCUGGCAAUGAUCCUGAACGGCCCAAUAUAACGGUACGGUCACGCCUUCGCCUUGCCAUGAUCUCCUGAAAUACCUGAAACAAUAAACUAAAAACUGUAAGCCCGAGGGCUUAGUGAGCUACCCCCAAAAUACCAAUACCACACUGAUAAUAUCAUAUCAGUAGUAAUCAAUCAAUCAACAUGCAUACUGGGCCAUCGGCCUGACUGGACCCCCCUUCAGGGCCUACAGUCUAGCCGAAUCUAUAUCGAGCCUUCGGCAUGACUGCACCGCCACGUGGCCUACAGUCUCCCCGGACCGCUCAUAGGGUAUGUUGGCCUUCAGCAUAACGCAGGACCGCCUCCACCUAACCAACAAGCAAAUAAUCAGGUACGCAUAGCUAACAUACACUGGCAUAUACAUACAUGAAAAAUAUCUAAUUCACUAAUCAUCAAUCAUAGCAAUCUCUCAUGACUAGAGCACCGACCUAGCAUGCCACUAACAUACCAAUCCCUAAGGAUCAUAAAAGCAUAACAUACUGUCUAUCCUGAUGCAGAUCUAUCAGAUCAUAAACGCAUAUAUCAUAUCAUAUCCAUAACAACUAAAGGGCUUGCCUUGGUGCCUUAGACCCUUGUGAUAUAGUGAGGAUGACUCACCUCGUAGAUGUCGACUCAGUAGAUAAACUCCAACUCUCGGAUCACUUACCCAAGACUUCACCACCUAUUACCGUAAUACGAAUAUACCCAUAAGUCCUCAACCUUACAAGGUACUCCCUAAACCAAGUAGUCAACUCCUGGUCAAUGUCAAAGUUCUCAGUCAAGGUCAACAGUCCAUGUUGACCUUAACUCACGGAGUACCCUCGGCUACUCACCGAGUUCCUUGAAGUAUUUGCCCACUCGUCGAGUCAUCGGGGUGACUCGUAGAGUUCCUUCGGUCUACGAUCGAAACUCUACGGCCACUCGUCGAGUUUCCUUCAUGCAACCCGACGGAUAUGCACGCAUACAUAACUUGGGGAAAUCUCAUCCGACUCGCCGACUUAUUCAAACAACUCGUCGAGUCUAUNAAUCUCAUCCGACUCGCCAAGUUGUUCAAACAACUCGUCGAGUCUAUGACAAUCUUCAAAGGACUCGCCGAGUUGUUCUUCCAACUCGUUGAGUUCACGCCUAUCUUCAUAUGACUCGCCGAGUCGACCAUGCGACUCGCCGAGUCCCUUCAGUCCUUUUGCCAUACAGACUCAUUUGAGUCAUGCAGCGGCUCCAAACUACAGAUCCAAGCUUCUAAGGCAUGGUUUUCACGUAAAGUUGCAAACUCUACGUUCAUGCAUAACUAUAAAGGCUCUAAAUGUCCAUUCCAAGCCCAUAAUAGGGUUUCCUACCCAAGGAAGGUUUCAUUCACGUCCAAACCAGAAACUUUAUGACUCUAGGACUUGAGAAGGGUCUAGAUCUGAAGUUACAACUUCAGAUCUAGCCCAUAGUCCACCUUAUCAACUCAAAGAUCCAUAACAGCCCCAAAACUCAACCAAAAAGAGGUCUAGAAGGGAAAAGAAGUAAAGGUGGCAACUUGAUACCUCUAGAAGAUGCUAACCGAGGUAGAUUCUGAUUGCCACACUUUCCUGGAUCAAUUCCCUUGCCUUCCUAGUUCCUUCUCUCCAAAGAUCUUCCUCCCAAGCUUAAUACACCCACAAUAAAGCACCACACGAAUUAGGGUUUCUUAAGAGAUCUCUAGAACUAUAAAGAGGCCAAAUGAGGCUUAAGCCUCCUUAAAUAGGGUGCAAAACCUCGGGAUUUAGGGUUUCAUCUUCCAGCUCCUACUCAUCGAGUUCCUUCAUGGACUCGGCGAGUAGGUCACUAAACACGCGAUCCCACCCCACUGCUACUCAACGAGUAGGCAACCAACUCAUCGAGUAGGAAUUAAACCAAAGAAAUCAAUACUUGAGAAACGGGGCAUUACACUGGUUCUUUGCAGAAGCGGAUGGUGUGUCCCUUCUUGUUACACCGGGUGCACUAAAACUCACGGCAAGGUCCGUGGUAAUGAAAGUUGCACCGGUUGCAAUUUGGCAGUUGGCCGUUGUAUGAGCUUGUUGGUGCAUGGGUUGUAGGGAUGGUAACAGCAUGUCCUGUCACUAUCUGCUGUUUCUUGGGGGUUCUCUUGCAAGGUUUGCCCCCUUCUCUUGUUCCAAGGUUUCCUUUGGCCCUAUAUUUCCUUUGGUGGGUCGGCAGUAACUGCAAUAGUAUCAUGUUUGCCCCCAUGAUCGAUCAAGCGUUGUGUCAGGCGCUUUGCGCUGUUGAAUGUUACCAGGUUGGAGGCUAAUACAUGCCCUUGAAUUUGGGGCGACAACCCCCAGAUGUAUCUUUCCACUUUCUUCGGCUCCGGGUUCACCAUUCCCGGGUACAAGGCUAACAAAUCACUGAACCUGGCCGUGUAGGUGGUCAGGUUAGAACCAACCAUUUUCAAGUUCCAUAGUUCCUCCUCUAUUUUUUGAAUUUCUCCCUUGGGCAUUAUUCUUCUUAUAGUAGGACUUUCAAGUCCUCCCAUAUCAUGGCAUUGGCAACUGGAGGGGAUACGGAUUUCACAUGGCCCUUCCACCAUGUGAGGGCUAGGUCAGUGAAGGUACAAGUAGUAAACUACCUUGCUUGUUUCCUUGCACGAACAAAUUUCAAAGACUGUCUCGGUCUUUUCAAACCAUUGCAUAAGUGAAAUGACUCCUCCAGUGCCGUUGAACAUUUUCGGCUUGGCGUUCGAGAAUUCUUUGUAGGUACAUUCGCUAACAUGACCAGUGCCAUGGUUUUGAUGAUUGGUACUACUCUUGCUCCAUCCAGCUCCAUUAGAGUUUAUUUGGGAUAGCGCAGCUGCUACUGUUGCGGUGAUGGCAGCCUGAACCAUAGCAGUAUCAUAAGUUGAAGGUGGUGGUGGCGGUGUUGGUGUCGUAUUUCGGCGUGUUGACCUACGAGGAGGCAUCAUGCUGUCAAAAAAAUAAUGAAAGACAAUAAGUCUGAAAUGUUUCAAAGUCGUGUGUUAAUGAGUUAGUUAUUUUCAACAUUUCAUGAAUUAGGGUCGACCUAAACAAGGUUUUCGAGUUUGAUUCAUAAUAAGAGUUUAUAAAUAAACUUAUGAAUUCGAGUGAUAUGCAAGGAAUUAAAACACAAAGGAAAUACUUCAUUAUAUUAAACAUAUAUUGGGUUACAUUUUGGAUUCAGGAAAAUUUUGACCUUUCUAAAGGUCUCCGAUUGCAAAAGUUAGAGAAAAGUAAGACUUUUAGCCGAGAUCCUAUUCUAUAACAAAAUUUUGGGAGUCGGACAAGUACUACUUGCGAUGUGGGUUGAGCUUGGAGCUAGACUCCGCGUCUGAUUGCUUGGUUCCCAUUAGACGCCUUUCAAAGGUGGCUUGUUGCUCCCUCAUUUCUCUUACCUCGGCGAGGGCUGCAUUCAAUUGAUCCUGGAGUGCGUCGGUGUGGAGUUGGGCAUUUUCUUGCAAUAUGUCCAGACGAUGAAUGUCGGCAGCGUUACCUUGCACCUCUACAUUGACUACACGAAUCCGGUUUGCCCAGACUCAUGUUUGUUAGGAUUGGUUAGCUAGCUUGCCUACAAUGAUUGGGAGUGCUCGGUCAGCUGAACUUCCAUUGCUGAUGUUGUAGAAGUCCCGACACAUGCCGUAGGGAGGACGAACUCCUUGUUGCUGACUCCAGUGUUGAAUGUGGCUUCCCCAGAUGGGAGUUGGUCCCUGAAACUCUCUCCUAACAGCAGGGGGUCGGACAGCUGGUAGGUUGAUUACCUCUGGUUCUGAGUCUGUCCCAUCAGAGCCUUCCUCUUCCUCCUCUUCCAUGGGUUCCUCAUCCUCUUCUUGGUCGUCUUCCACCCAUCCUCCGUUGCCUUGGUUGGGGUAGUAGGGGUCUCCAGGUAGAUGCAAUCCAACCAUUGCGACUAUACGAGAAUAGGGUUAUAAGAUUUGUCUAAAAAAAUACUAAAGCACAUAAGUUUAGUAUUAAGUUUAUACUAUUGUUGCUACCAAAGACUCUUAUAGUAUUCUAAAUGUUUUUGUUUGGUAAGUUUUAGACUUGUUGUCCACUGUAGCUAUCUCCUGGCAUAUGUUGUUCGGCUCUUGGACAAAUAUAGUUGAUCGGGCUAUAUUCAUCCCAGUCCCGAUUACAUGUCCCAAGGCAUACCUGUAGUGCACAACUCAAACAUAACACUUCUAUAUUGUUCUCUUAAUGAUACUUGAUUUUGUUAUGAAAUGAAUGCAUGUAAUAAAAAUUUCAUUUUUUUUUAAAAUGCAACUCUCAAUAGAGUGUUUUUUCCUAGUUAUGUUUAUAGUUGUAUAUCAAAAAUAGGUUUUGAUAUAAUUAGUUCACUACAAACAUUGCUCUGAUACCAAUCUGUCACACCCCCAAACCAGAAUGGCGGAAACGUUCGGGGGCGGAGGACGUCAUGUUAAGUAUAAUAGCAAAUGAAUAGUAAAGAAAGUACACACCACCAUAAUAUAAAUACAUUUGAAAAUUUUACAUGAUUGUAUGUGUUACAAGUUUGAAUAUCAAAUACAAUAUGGUGAUCCAAAAUAUGUUACUAACGCCAGCGUGUUAGUCUUCAAAAGUAGUUGCUACCUGGUUUAGUGGUUUCUUGAGAAUACAAGUUAUUUCAAAGAAAAAGUGUCAACAAUAAAGUUGGUGAGUUGAUAAGUAGUGUUUUGAGAAAAUGAAUGCCAUUCAAAAGUUCGUGUCUGCUUUCCAGAAAAUCCCUUAUUUUCUAUUAGAUGUAUCAAAUGAGUAUGAAAGAUCGUUGUAUAAACUGUAUGUAUUUGAACCAGGAAAAUCCCUUAUUUUCCUAAAAAGUGAAAUGUAAUCUCAAAUGACCAAGACCGUAAGCUUUAAGCAACUAUGACAUGCUCAAAAGAAUGAUGUAUAAUCUUAUUAUAAAAUAAUAAGAUAAGAAAAUCGUAUUUGUAAAUGAAAAAGUGACUAUAACAGUCAUUUUCCCCAUGAAAACAAAAUACCAUAAUAAUUGUCUAUCUUGUGAGUUUUAACAACCGUACUAUCAUACUUUGCCUGUAGCGACAUUCUUCAGGCGUCGAAAUGAGAUGACACUUGUCACCCCGGGGACUGUAGCUAGCAGUCAGGGCGCGGGAUCAUUAGUCCCAUAUAGAUCUAUACACACUUGUAAUGUUCUCCGGACGGGAGAUUCUGGUUAUAAACAAGACUUCUAGCGGUACCUUAAUAUGUAUAAUGAAGAUGAAUGACUCACAUAUUCUCAACUAAGUCUGUAUUCUUGAAAGUGAUGAUUUUUUUAUGAAAUGAUUUCCCUUUUUCCACAAUAUUAACAAAACUAUAAUAAAAGGAGUAUGAUCUUGUAUGUAUAAGAAUGGUAUACUGAAAAUGAUUACCCGUGAUAUGUUACAAAAGUUUAAAUAAGCUUAUAGUAUUUAUAAUCAUGUUUUAUCCCGAGAGGGUAAUGUAAGGUAAGAUGUCUUGCAUGUUAACAGAUCCCUAUGAUAGUUAUUAAAAACAGUCUGUAAUGUAUAACGAAAGAUAGAUGUUUUCACACAAGAUUAAUCGUGUGUUUACUUGUAUUCUCCCCCGUAACGUGUUAAGAGCAUUUAAAAAGUCUUUAAAAGAGUAGAAAUGGGGUAUCAGGAUUCUCGGGAAUCUUGGGAGCGUAAAACUUCCUUCCGAACAUGAAUACGAUAACCAGGACUUCGGGAUGGCUCUGAGGGUUUAAACGCAAAGCUUCAGCACGAGAAAGAGAAGAAAUUAAAAUAAUCCCGGAAUCCUUGCACCCUUUUUAUGGGGGCUGAAACCCCCUCGUACCCAGGGCAUACUCACCCAGUUAUGCUGGGCAUAACGAGUCAUCAUCGAAUGCGUAGCUCAGACCUGAUGGCCGAUGGGAAAGCCUGUUGGGUGAUGGGACGAGGCUCCUAUCCUCUGGUACGAUGGGCGUAACUCGCUACGCGGGGCGUAGUUUGAAUUUCCAAACCUCUAAAUUGCGUAACGUUCGCGUACGAGCUCCGUUUUUCAUGUUUUUUUAUAUCCACGCAUAGGUGAGACUAUACUCUACAACUUUGAUUUAGACUCUGUCGGCUAGUUUUGAUUUUAUUUUUAAUUAUUUAUUUUUAAUAGGCCGGGACACGAAAAGUCCGUUUAAAAUCCGUAGCUUCUUUAUCCGAUGUCCGUUUUCGACAGACUUUUCACCAUUGUGAUACUAUUUUCGAGGACUUUAUUUAUCGUUUAGGUUGUUUCGGCCAAAAAUCUCUUGAUCUCUAUUUCGAGAUUUUAGUUGUCUACUGCUAUGUCUGAAACUUAGAAAAAUCUUAACUUUCUCAUACGAAGUUAGAUUUGGACGUUCUUUUUAUGCACGUUCACGGUUUAGUAUAAUCUACGACUUUCGUUUAGAUACCUAAGGUUAAAAAGUAUUUUAUUGAAAUUUCACUUUUUACGUUUAUCAGGGUUUUACCGGUUUUCACACGAAUCUUUGGUUGAUCAUAACUUCCUUAUUAUAACUCAGAUUCGAGUGUUCUGAAUAUUUCUGAAAACCUUGAUAGGAUAUCUAUCAUUUAGGCAUCCCAAUUGAUACUUUCUGAACAUUUUAUUUUCGAAGCUAUUUUAUUAACUUAAACAGGGGUUACAAGGUUUGACUGGAAGUCAUUACAUUGGUUUGAAAUUUCGGGUUGUCACACCAAGGUUGGCCCUUUAGUUGUUAUUGUUAUGGUAUGCUACACGUGGUUAUGAUCUGUUAGAUCGGAAUAAGGAUAAACAGUAUGUUAUCCUCUUAUGAUCCGUAGGGAUUGGUAUGUUAGUGACCUGCUAGGUCGGUGCUCUAGUUACGAGAGAUUUCUAUGAUUGAUGAUCAGUGAGAUAGAUAUGUUGAUAUUUGUAUAUGCCAGUAUGUGAUAGAUAUGUGCACAUGGUUAUUUGCUUGUUGGUUGGGUUGAGACGGUCCUGCUUUGUGCUGAAGGCCAACAUACCCUAUGAGCGGUCCGGGGAGACUGUAGUCCCACGUGGCGGACCAGUCAUGCCAAAGGCUUAGGAUAGCAUCAGGUAAACUGUAGGCCCUGCUGGGUGGUCCAGUCAAGCCGAUGGCCCAGUAUGCAUGUUAUUGAUUGUCUGUUACUAACAUGGUAUUAUCAGUGUGGUAUUUUAUGGGUUUUGAGCAAUACAUCAUUCCUAUGGUGUACAUGCAAACCCUAAUAGCUUUUGGAUCUAGUUUGUCUAAUAAACAUGCAAUUAAAUAUCCAAAGCUAUAAACCCUAGAUCUAGCAUACAAUUAAUCAUAUUAACAUAAAAUAGGGUUUAGAUCUUACCUUUGAUUGUUAUAUAGCAAUAACAAUCUAAUCCUUGGCUUCAGAAAGCUUAGUGCCUCAGGUCUUGCACCUCUAAUGGAGUCACAAACACCACUAAGCAACUUGGAUGAAGAGAGAAGGAGCAGCACCCUAAAAUGUCCAGAAACCAUAAGGAAGUCUUAGCCACGUUUUUGGGGCCAUAAGGGUCCUUUAUAUAGGUAGGCUAUUAGGGUUUACAGCUAGGAAACCCUAAUCUGACUGCUUAAGCCCUAAGCAGCCCAUGGAUUCCUUUAACAUAUCCCUUGGACGAUUUCUAACAGGCUUCCCCACAGAAUCCAUCCAACCUAUAUAUUAUUAGGUAAUCCAUAGCCCAAUUGCAAUUAUCUUAUAAUUACAAAUCCAGUCCACUAAGUUUAAUUAAUCUCUUUUAGCCACAAAAGUAAUUCUUAAUUAAUUCUUGAGUAAUAUUAGUUAAAGAUUAUGAAUUCUCCUUUAAUAUAUUAUUCUCAUAAUAUAUUAAUAAAUCAUAAUUAAUCCUUUCUCUCCUUAAUUCAUCCUACAUAUUGUUAUGGUGAAGGCAACCCAAAAGGACCAUGUUCAUAAUCGGGUCAAGCACAUACCAAAAUAGUUAUGGACUUAGACACUAAUCCAACAGUCUCCCACUUGGAUAAGUCUAAUAACUAUUUUGCAUAACUUCAGAACCUGAUCAGCAAUCGAAGCUUUCAAAAGCCGCUGUCAACUCUGAGCUUAUCAGAUACGCGUGUCCUUUAGAUAAGGGAUCAUAUAUUCCUCCAUUCUCAAGAUAUCGUGUAGACAUAAGACAUGAAUUUAAUCAUUCUUUCUAUACUGUUUCCCAACUUCCGAUUUAUGACGACUGACAACAGACUACAAUUAAACACAUCAACUUAGUCCCAGCUUGGCCAAGCGCUUAGGUGUCAUAUCUGAAUCAUCAAGGGGCCCACAUAUAUCGCUUUUAUCCCACUUUGGGUAAAAGGAAUCGAUAAACUUCGACUCAAAUGCUCGCUUGCAUUUACUGAUCGAAUCACACACAACAAUAAGUUUUAUAACACCAAGUUACUGGUGCGUUUACUUAUUAUCAAUGUGCAACCGACCAAUAAAUAGCAACUCACACAUCUCGGUUUCAAGAAUAUACAAUAUUAUCGACUCACAAUCACUCGCGAUAUAAUCCAUGAAGUGACUCACGUGAGUGUGGGUUUAAUCCAAUACUCUAAUAUUAUCAAAGUACUCAUGAACCCUGCAGCAAACUUGUGCUAUGUCUAAACCCUUCAGACAAUCUACAGACUCUUCAUGACAGUCUUCCUUCAUACCUACUUCCAACGUAUGACUGACUGUGGAGGUUCGAAAAACCCAGUUAUUUUGGAAGUCAAAACAUGCAAACUAAAACAUAACAAUAAUACUUAAUCCUAUAUGGCCCCAAACUUGUGAGAGUAAUUAAAAUAUUUCUAUUUAUCCACCAUAUUGAUUAAUCAUUAUUUAUCAUUUAAUGUUUCGGAUAAUCAACUCAUUACUUGAAUUACAACAACAAUUGUCCCAUGCUCCAAGCACGCACACUUUUUUUCCUAUGGUCCAUGCUUUGUGAAAUAGAUCAACUGAAAACUUUUCCAGUGAUGCUCAUUUCACAAUUCCUUAAUCCUCAUUGUUAGUGUAAGAACACAAGGUUCUUGCCACUACUAGAAUAUGUUAGAUUCUAACAUUUUAUGCAACGAUCCUUUCGCAAAGCCAUAGCACAAAAGUCACUAAGACUUGGCCAAUGAAAUUACAAGGUCUCUAUCAGAGAUUGUUAUAAGACAAUUCUAUAGACGUGAUGUCUCUCACUCAAAGUACAUUCCUUUGAACAUCCUUUUGUAUAAAAUUUUCUAAUCUAGACAUAAAUUCUCAAUUUCCAACUCCCAAUAUGAAACAUUUCCAUAUUUGACAUAUGACAACUAAUUCUUAUUAGAAUCUUAUCUAUUCAUAAUAAUGUCGAUAUGGUCCAUCCAAUACCAUGCUUCCAACUACUCAUAAGAGACCAAUCCUCAGCGAACUUUGGAUCGUCCUUUGAUAGCUGUUUAAUUAUUUUAGUCAAAACUGAUUCUGGUCCUUUUUCCCUCUUAAUGCGCUAGACAUUUGGAAAAUUUUAGAAUGGUCAAAUAUUAUAGAAUUUGCAAAUAAUCCUAUACCUGAAGCGUAUGGGACACGAUGCAUAAUGUCUUCAUAAAGAUAUGAUACUUUAUCAAUCUUCUGCCAUAAUAUUUUAUGUGUCAUGUUCUUACAAUUCGAACUAUGAAGAGGGAUGCUAUAAUCAUAUUCGAAAUUUAAGAACACACUAUGUAUCCUUUGACUAAUUUUAUUAAAAUUUCUCAAUCUAAGCUUUAGAUUUUGAAACAAAGUAUAAUAUUCUCUCCCUUAAUUAUAGCAAAACAACUUUUCAACCCUUGCGACUUUGCAAAGUAUAACUCUUGUUUUCUAUAAUCAUACAAGCAUAACAUUUAUUCUCCCACUAUCAUGAUGAUUCUUAUCAUAUAAGCAUAACACUUAUGCUCCCACUAGCUUUGACAUGUAUUCAGAAAAUAGCUGAACUUCCAGAAAACAAUACCUAUUGAAUUUCUGAAGUUCAUAUUUCUAAUACCAGAAGCUUCGAUAAGCCUUUAUCUAAGCUUCUUAAACUUAUACACCUUUUCCUUAGAAAGCUCACAUGUAUGUCUAGAAAAAUUCAGAACUUAUGUUACUAAGUCCCAAAUGUUUAAACUAAUUGCCAAAUCUCACAAUUCGAACUAUGGAAAGGGAUGCCGUAACCAUAAUCGAAUUUAAGAAUACAAUUUUCACAAUUGCUAUCUUCUUAAAAUCUCUCUUAGUGAAAGCAUUUCCUCACAAUCGUUUUCAUGAAGGAGGGAAUCUUAUGACACUUAGAUUUUAUGGUGUAUGAGUUCCUAUCCAUGUGAAUUUGUCAAAACCAAAGUUUACGACAAAUCCAAACUCAUAUGGACCGAACUUUCUUAAUCUUGAUUUCUUGCCUUAUGGUAACACGAGUGCCCAACAUGUCUUCCAAGUAGUUCAUCAACUUAUAUCAAUGUACUUUCCAUCAAUCAAGGUGCUUUGUCUUUAUGCAUUCAAAUGAGAACUCAUAGAACUCACAUACAUAAUUAACUCAAUUGAAAUGGCACAGAAACAAAAUAAUGUCAACAUGAUAGGUUGUAAACCUCAAGUCGUGUGCUAGUGAUGGUUGAUAAGGUUUAUUCUUGAUUUGUUCUUGAAACCUUUUUCAAGAUCAUUAAAACUCUCACUGACCUCUUGACAUAUAUGAUUCUCUUGUCAGGAAACUUUCCAAGACAAAACAAAUAUUCAAGAGUUAGUGUAGUUCUUAUCAAGAUAAAACACUUCACAAAAUUGGUCCUAGUUGGUCUUUGUCUUAUCCAAGACAUCACAACUUACCAAUUUCAAGUGUGCAAGAAUAAGAAAACUUUUCCAAAUUCCACAUUUGAUGAGUGUUAUAAACCUUCUUCAGACUUGUCACUCAAUUCACAGUCUUGGAGUAUAACUCUAAGACUUGAUGUUGGAACGAAGUAUGAUUGACUUCUUGAUUUUAACCAUUUCCACAAUUCUCGAUUCCUCUUCUUAGACAUACAAAUGCACUAUGACUCACUUAGAGGAUCAAUUGAGAUAUGGUUCUUAAUCAUUAAGACUUAUCAUAAAACAUAACAAAAGGUACUCUCCCUUCUUCUUAGAAUAGAGAAAUUUUUAUCUUUCUGCCUACUUGAUUCUUCUUUAUUCGUUCUGCUAUUUAUUGGAACUCUUUCAAUCAACUCAGAAUUACACUUAAUAUUAUAAGUAUAAUCAUAUUUACUAAACCUUAGUUAAUCAUGAUGAAUAUCUUUGUUACUCUUAUGGUGGACAUGAUCAACACACAACCUUGUGUACUCGAUCUCAUAGUCCUUCACUUAACACUUUGUCAAUGAAUUAGUCUAAUUUCCAAAUAUGAAAUUUCUCAUUCAUCACACAACCAAGUUGCAUGAUUCCAAGUUUCUGUCCAAUUGAAACUUGGGCGAUGAGAAACUCUCUCUAUUUGGUAAAUUCUUGACAUUUCCACAAAUAACAUAAUUAAGAAUCAAAUCCAUUAUUGCUAUUAAUAGAAACAUUCAAACAUCAAUUUUUCAUACACGCCAUUGCAAUGAUAAAUAAAUAAUAUAAAAUCAAAAUUUAUUUUAUUGCGGAAAAUUUUGUCCUUACAAUGCAAUUCAACUGAAAAACUAUGUUGUUACAUAUUCCUAAGCAAUCUGUUCUAACUCCAAGUCAUAGAUCAAGAAUCAAUCUUCAAGCAAUGCAAUAGAAAUCGAUUUCUUCACGAUUAGAUUUAUCUCACUUCUUCCCUUAAGCUUCCUCUCUUUUCUUCGAUCCUACAAAACAUCAAAAUGUAAUCUUAUCACAUCAUGUAUUAAGAAUCUAGAAUAGGAACUUAAAAGAGUUAGUUAAUGGAUUUUACAUGAAGUAGAUCCAUACGUCUUGACUGUCCCAUCUCUUACAUCUCUCAGGUAAAUAAGGCAGCUUCAUCUCCAAUGCCCCUUCUCUUAGAAAUAAAAGCAAAUGGACUCCUUUGGAAUGGCACAAAGAACUAUCUCAGAAUUUACCUUUUCAGGAUCUCCAAUGUCACCAUUUUCAAUGUCCAUUGAAGUUUGGGAGUUUGAUUCACCAGACAAAUUUGCUUGACCAGCACGCCAAAUCAUUGCUGAUUCAGCAGCUACAAGCAAAUAUGUGAGAUCAAUGAGGGUCACAUAGUGAUCCAUCAUAUAGUACUCUCUAACGAACUCACUAUAUGAUUCAGGAAGUGACUGAAGAACCCAGUCAACAGCCAACUCACUUGAAAUCUCGACACCCAACAUCCUUAACCUAUCAAUGUGUGACUUCAUCUCUAAGACGUAUGCACACACAGGUUUCCCAUUUUCGUGUUUACUUGUCAAAAGGGCUUGAGUGAGCUUGAACUUUUCAAGCCUUCGGACUUGUGGGUUCGGGAGAACAAUUGGAGGAGGUGGAGGAAGUGAAGCAUGAUUUCUUGUUCCUCGAUCAUAUCGUGGAAUAUCAUCUUCAUUUGGAAAACUUCUUCCAAGGGAUUUGGGAAGACCAUGAUUGUCAGAACUAGACAUCUACUAAACGGGAGAAAAUUCAAGUUAAGUUGAUUAGAAUCCUUGAUGUAACACCCAAAUGAAACAUCAAGGCUAGGAUCCAACACAAUACUCUACAACCUAGAAGAGGGAUGUCGUGAUCUAGUUGCAGAAUAUUUGAAGGUAGGUAAAUGACGAUUUACCAAUUUCCACCAUGAAAAACGAAGAACGAGUUUAUGUUUUAAAUGAAUUGAAACUCCUAGAUCUUUUGAGAUUCAUUGAACUUUUCAAUGGCAUGUUUAAUCUCGAUUAUGCCCUUCUAUUUGUGACUGGGAUGCCGAGAAUCACAAAUAAGGUGUGAAUAACCAUACGAAUCAAUGUUCCGGUUAGCCACACACGCUCCAUUGAUCUAUGAUAAACAUCGAGCCACCCUUCGCUACCAAUGUCAUCCCCAAAUUAGUGUGUCAGUUAACCACACACACUCCACUAACGUUUGACAAGGGUAUGAAGUGUAAUUCCAUGGAUUAGCAUACAAUUUCAGAUUUUGCCUAAAGUAACUAUGAUUUGGGAAUUUGUAAAAGCAUUUAGUUACUUUUGUAUUUCAUUAUACUUAUAAUGGAAGGUUUCUGUCCUAUCCUACCCAUUCAGCUAACGACCCUCCACUAGUCAAGAGUGCAGUGGGUAAGAGUGGAUACCCAUUCAAUCGCCAUUUUAUAGGCAAUUUCCUUAAACACCCCUUAUAGACCACCUUCGUGAAUGAGGCCUACUAACGGUAAGACUAACUCAUUAUUCAUAUAUAUAAUAUUAGACUUUUAAUGUUACAUAUAUAUAGUAUAGGGUGUAUUUUACACUUUUAAAAUACUAGGUGGUCUAAUUUAAUAAAUUAUACUUUUAAUUUAAUUAAAUGUAAACCAAAAGUUUAUGGGUUUGUUAAAUCUCUUUUAAUUAUACACUUUGAUUAAUUAAUAAAACCAUAAGGGUGUGAUUUGAACUUUUCAAAACAAUACUAGGGUUUUAGAAUUUAACAUUUCAAAAUUAAACUUUUAAUCAACUUUUAAAUUCCAAAACUUGAGGGCAAGCUUUAAAACAUUUCAAAACAUUAGGGUUUAGAAUUUAAAUAUAUUUCAAAAUUAAACUUUUAAUUAAAAAUUUAAAUUCCAAAACUUGAGGGUAAGUUUUGAAACUUUUCAAAACAUUAGGGUUUAAUUAUUUAAAUUUCAAAAACAAAACUUUUAAGUUCAAAUUUAAACUAUAAAACCUAAAGGGUGCAGAUUGAAACUUUUCAAACUAAGUCAAAUAUUUAUCUAAUAAUAAUCCUAUAUUAUCCAUAUUUAACCAAAUCCAUUAAUUUUGAUAAGGAUAAUCAUUCCAAACAUAAAAAAAUGAUUUUAGGCAAUAAAAAAAGUUUUGGUAAUUAUCCACAUCAAAAUCUGGCCAAAAAAUCGAAAAUUCCAUCAACAGACCCUUGGACUCAUCGAGUCCACCAUGGAACUCGUGGAGUUGGACCAACUCGUCGAGUCCAUGAAUGGAAUUGGCGAGUUAGCCUCUCAAAUUGCAAAAUUUUCGAUUUUCCUGAUCUUUGGCAGUCUAAUUUGGCAACAAAUUCACUAACAAACAACCCUAUUCUAUGAUACCACUGAUAGGUUUUUAGCAAUACAUCAUUCCUAUGGUGUACAUGCAAACCCUAAUAGCUUUUGGAUCUAGUUUGUCUAAUGAACAUGCAAUUGAAUAUCCAAAGCUAUAAACCCUAGAUCUAGCAUACAAUUAAUCAUAUUAACAUAAAAUAGGGUUUAGAUCUUACCUUUGAUUGUUAUAUAGCAAUAACAAUCUAAUCCUUGGCUUCGGAAAGCUUAGUGCCUCAAGUGUUGCACCUUUAAUGGAGUCACAAACACCACUAAGCAACUUGGAUGAAGAGAGAAGAAGGAGCAGCACCCAAAAACGUCCAGAAACUGUAAGGAAGUCUUAGCCACGUUUUUGGGGCCAUAAGGGUCCUUUAUAUAGGUAGGCUAUUAGGGUUUACAGCUAGGAAACCUUUAACAUAUCCCUUGGACGAUUUCUAAUAGGCUUCCCCACAAAAUCCAUCCAACCUAUAUAUUAUUAGGUAAUCCAUAGCCCAAUUGCAAUUAUCUUAUAAUUACAAAUCUAGUCCACUAAGUUUAAUUAAUCUCACCCACAAAAGUAAUUCUUAAUUAAUUCGUGAGUAAUAUUAGUUAAACAUUAUGAUUUCUCCUUUAAUAUAUUAUUCUCAUAAUAUAUUAAUAAAUCAUAAUUAAUCCUUUUUCUCCUUAAUUCAUCCUACAUAUUGCUAUGGUGAAGGCAACCCAAAAGGACCAUGCUCAUAAUCGGGUCAAGUACAUAACAAAAUAGUUAUAGACUUAGACACUAAUCCAACAGUAUUGGUAUUUUGGGGGUAGCUCACUAAGCUCUUGGGCUUACAGUUUCAGUUUAUUGUUUCAGGUACUUCAGUAGAUCAUGGCAAGGCGAAGGCGUGACCGUACCGCUCCACAUCCUUUUGUUCUAGUUAUUGGGACACUCUGAUGAAUAAUGAUUUGAAAACAUGUUGUAAACAAAUACUAUUUGGUUUUAGUUAUGAUUGGAAAAGUUUAAAUUUGGCGUAAAUUUUUGGAUGUUACAAGUUGGUAUCAGAGCCUUGGUUUGAGUGAAUUGGAGGAACACUCGUGUGAAUCCAGUCUCAAAUCAAGGGAAUUUUCAGAAUAAAUACUAAAAUGGUUUUCAAAACAAAGGAUGAAGGAUGCAGAGGGCACGAUCAGCCGGAGCCUGUAAGUAAGCCCCAAAAUACCAUACAGUUAUUUGAUAUUAUGAUAUGAUAGAACAUCAUGCUAGUGCUAGGUUAGGAAUCUUCAGGAAUCGCAGGAUAAGAUUUGCCUGAUUAUAUGAUGCCUACUAGCCUAGGGUUCUUGUAUAUGGAAUUGACAUCAUAACUGUAGAUGUUUAGUGUAUGCAUCACGGCUGUGUGUAAUCAAGAUCUUAUAGCCUGAGAAUGUCUGAUUCGACUUUAGUGUAGUAUUGGAUAUUCGAAAGUCUAUCGGGUCCAACAUUAUGUGUGGCUAGCAUACACUAGUGCUGUAGGGUUGGUGAAAGUUUCAUGGAUGUGUGAGUUGUGAGAAGUUAUGAGACCAGAUGCGAGAUAGUCUAUAUUCCCCUAGGAGGGAGGGUUGAGCGCGUAUUAUGUUGAUGAUAGUGUUAGGGCAUUGUGGUGAUACUUGAGACCAAUAUGGGUAGGUGUGGAAGGUAGUAUGGGCCCGUACUACUGAAAGCACAGUACUCAUACACGUAGCAAGGAAGUCACAACCCCUAAGGUUGUGGGAAUUGGUCUCCCGAUAUUAUGUCAUUUAUCUGACGUCUUGGUUAUAUUUUUCAGUAUGGUGGUGACGAGGCGUUUUACUACUGGAUCCGGAUCAGGAUCAGGAUCGGGAGGCGGAGGGUCGGAGGUGCCGGUAGCACCUGAGCCUGUGGUAUAGAUAGGGACAGAGGAGUUGGAUGCCAGGAUUCGGGAGAUUCUGCACGACGAGAUUGUUGCGGCGUUCCGAGCGUAGCUGUCGGAGAUGUUUGGGUCGAUUAAGACCGUGAUGGUUGAGUACUUUGACGAGCGAUUUGCAGCUCUAGCAGAGACAACGGACGCUACAGCUACAUCGGCUGUAACCGCGGCAGGGGUUGGAGGAGUAGCCGACAGGGCUUUCUAGUACCGGGACUUCCAUAACACGAAGCCCCCGAUGUUUGAUGGUAUACAAGAUGCGAUCAGGGCUAUGAGGUGGUUAUCUGACGUGGAUGGCUGUUUCUUCACGUCUUCUUGUCCUGCUGACCAAAUGGUCAGGUGUGCCCUGAACCUGCUGAGGCUUGGAGCAAAGUACUGGUGGAGGUUGAUGACAGGGUUGUACACUGAUGAUUAGCGGACUGCUGUUACUUGGGAGCAGUUUCGGGAUAUGUUCCGCACCCGCUACAUUCCACGCGUUGAGUGGGAGCGGCUUGCUCAGGAUUUUUUGACACUAAGGCAGGAUGGGGAGUCAGUGAUGGAGAUCACUCGUGUGUUCAUGUACAAGGCUAUGUUUUGCCCGGAGUUUGCUUCAGAGCAGUCUCAGAUGACUCGUUAUCUGAGUAUGCUCAAGACUGAUAUUCGACAGUUUGUUGCUAUGCAACGUUGUGAGAAUCUUUUGGAUCUUCAGGAAGCCGUGAGGUGGCCUGAGUUGGAGAUAGAGCUGCAGUUUAAGGAGCACCGUCAGGUUCUGGCACAGACUCAGCCGGCACCUAAGCGGUCCAAGAUCGCUGAUACUCGGACCGGGGUCAGCAGAGCCGCACUUGUGGAAAGUGUGGCAGGGGUCAUUCUGGGGUUUGUCGAGUAGGAUGUGGUUACAAUAAAUUUGGCAAGGAGGGGCAUUAUGCCAGGGACUGUCUCCAGUCCACCCCUCCAGCAGAUAUGAGGAUUUGUUACCAUUGACAUCAGGUUGGUCACGUGAAGACCAACUGUCCGCAGCUCGCCGCCAAGCCGACGCAAGGAUCCAUACAUGCUACUUUGAGGAUUGGGUAUGGGAGGCCAGUCAAGGUGGAGCCUCCGAAGGCUUAGGGACGUGCCUUCCAGCCUACGGCCGAGGAGGCCAAGGCAGCACCAGAUAUGGUUGCUGGUAUGUUUCUAUUUUUCUGUUCCAGUUCUUAUGUAUGUGUUAUGCUUAUCAGUUGUACCUGUGUUUAGGAACGUUUUUAGUAAAUUCUUUGCCUGCUUUGGUAUUAUUCGACUCGGGAGCGAGUCGGUCGUUUGUAUCUCAGACUUUCAGUAGAGAGUUCAUUAUGUCGAUAGAUGAGCUUGAGUGUCUGUUGUGAGUUUCGAUCGCCAACGAGCACAGGGUUUCUGCUUCUUCGGUCUACCGGGGAUGCAAGUUGGAAAUUUUUGGGGUAUCCUUCCCGAUAGAUUUGAUUCCUAUUCCCAUGGGGGGAAGUAUGUGUGAUCGUAGGGAUGGAUUGGUUCAGUCGGUUUGGAGCCAUGAUCUACUGUGAGGGGCAGCGAGUUGUAGUUCAAACCCCAAGUGGGGGAGAACUGGUAGUGUAUGGUGAGUGCACCAGAGUGGGAGCACGGUUUUGUUCAGCCACCAGGGCUCGACAUUCCAUUCAGCAUGGGUGUGUCGGUUAUCUAGCGUAUGUGGUGGAUACGCGGAUUGGGGAUCAUGCUUCAGUUUCAGAGGUCCCAGUGGUUAGAGACUUUGCUGAUGUGUUUCCAGAGGAGUUGCCUGGAGUUCCUCCGGAGAGGCAGGUAGAGUUCAGGAUUGAUCUAUUACCGGGUGCGGCCCCUAUCGCUAAGGUGUCGUACCGUCUGGCAUCGCCAGAGAUCCAGGAGUUGGCAUCUCAGUUGCAGGAGCUGCUGGGAAAGCAGUUUAUUCACCCGAGUAGUUCUCCUUGGGGAGCACCGAUCCUCUUCGUUAGGAAGAAGGAUGGUUCGCACAGGAUGUGCAUUGACUAUAGGGAGUUGAACAAGUUAACGGUGAAGAACCGUUAUCCACUCCCGAGGAUAGAUGAUCUUUUCGAUCAGCUGCAGGGUGGAUCUUGGUUUUCCAAGAUCAAUUUGAGAUUCGGUUAUCACCAGGUCAGGGUGAGGGAGGAAGACGUGGAGAAGACCACGUUUCGGACUCGUUAUGGUCAUUACUAGUUCGUGGUUAUGCCGUUUGAGCUCACCAAUGCACCAGCAGUGUUCAUGGAUUUGAUGAACCAAGUCUGAAGACCGAUGCGCGAUCGCUCGGUCAUUGUGUUCAUAGAUGAUAUCUUGGUGUAUUCCUAGACUCGAGAGCAGCACGAGGAGCACCUCAGGGAGCUGUUGAAGGUUUUGCGGCGAGAACGACUGUAUGCCAAGUUCUUGAAGUGUGAGUUUUGGUUACGAGAGGUCCAAUUCCUCGGACAUCUCGUUAACCAGGAGGGGAUUUUGGUCGACCCGGCUAAAGUCGAGGCGGUUAUGCAGUGGGAGAUUCUGAAAUCUCCCUCAUACAUCAGGAGUUUCUUGGGAUUAGCAGGGUACUACCAUAGAUUCAUUCGAGAUUUCUCCAAGAUUACGGUACCCCUCACUCAUCUAAUGAGGACAAGGGUGGAUUUCUGGUGGGGCCCCGAGCAGCAGAGGGCGUUUGAGACCCUCCGAUAGUGUUUAUGUGAGGUACCAGUGUUGAUGCUCCCCGAGGGAGUAGAGGAUUUCGUAGUAUUUUGUGAUGCAUCCAUCACGGGCUUGGGGGCAGCCCUCAUGCAGAGGGGACGAGUGAUAGCCUAUGCAUCGCGGCAACUGAAGCCGCAUGAGACGAGAUACCCUAUGCAUGAUCUGAAGUUGGGAGCGGUAGUAUUCGCUCUCAAGAUUUGGAGGAAUUAUCUGUACGGGGUCCGUUGCACUAUAUACAUAGAUCACAAGAGUUUGAGACACAUCAUGUAUCAGCCGAACCUGAACAUUAGGCAGCGCAGGUGGCUGGAUGUAGUCAAGGAGUAUGAUUGUGAGUUCCUUUACCAUCAUGGUAAACCGAAUGUGGUUACGGACACUUUGAGCCGCAAGUCAGCUAGGUCUUCUACCCCAGAAAGGUGUAUGAGGAUUGCGGUGGAUUCCCCACUUGUGAGCUUGAUUGGGGAUGCUUGGGUUGAGGGCAUGAAACCAGAGAAUUGGAAGUUGGAAAGGAUUAAGGGCAAAAGCGCUCGAUUUGUUCAGGAUAGCCGCAGAUUAUUGACCCGACACGGUUGGGUUUGGGUUCCGAUGUCCGGAGGGGUCUGGCAGAAAGUGAUGGAGGAGGCUCAUAAGUCUCACUUUUCUAUACACCUGGGGGCCACCAAGAUGUACCGCGAUCUGAGAUUGAGUUACUGGUGGCCCAGCAUGAAGCGAGAAAUCGCUUGGUAUGUUGAGAGGCACCUGACCUGUAGGAUGGUCAAGGUCGAGCAUCAGAGGCCGCAUGGUAAGUUGCAGCCUCUGGAGAUUCCCAUGUGGAAAUGGGAGCAGAUCGCGAUGGACUUCAUUACGAAGUUGUCGAGGACGACGAAGGGGUUCGAUACUAUAUGGGUCAUCGUAGAUCGGUUGACCAAGAGUGCCCAUUUCUUGGCCAUACGGGAGAGUUCGUCGGCUGAGAAAUUGGUCAAUAUGUACGUCAGCGAGAUUGUCUCUCGCCAUGGGGUUCCAGUCUCUAUGGUUUCCGAUUGGGAUGUCAGGUUUACUUCCCGGUUUUGGCAGAAGUUCCAUGAGGAACUGGGUACGCGGCUGCACUUUAGCACAUCAUUCCAUCUGCAGAUCGAUGGACAGAGUGAGAGAACCAUUCAGCCCUCGAAGAUAUGUUGAGGGCGUGCGUCAUUAACUUCGGUGGGAGUUGGGAUUCCCACCAGCCGCUUGUAGAGUUCGCCUACAACAACAACUAUCAUUCCAGUAUUGUCGCCCCGCCUUUUGAGCUGUUGUAUGGUCAGAGAUGUAGAACCCCAGUUUGUUAGGGUGAGGUUGGACACAGAGUGAUGCGUCGGAUGGAGGUAGUCUUACAGAUGACCAAAAAGAUCCAGCAGAUUAGAUAGCGGGUGCAGUCCGCUCAGAGUCGGCAAAAGAGUUACGCGGAUAGACGCCGAUCAGAUUUGGAGUUUCAGGUGGGUGACAUGGUACUUCUAAAGGUCUCGCCCUGGAAGGGUGUGAUCCGCUUCAGGAAGAGUGGAAAAUUGGGUCCUCGUUAUAUUGGGCCAUUCAGGAUCAUUUCCAGGGUUGGCAAAGUGGCUUAUAGGCUAGAGUUACCAGAGGAGCUCAGCCAAAUUCACAGCACGUUUCAUGUUUCGCAAUUGAAAAAGGGCAUUAUAGACCAGGAGGCGGUACUAUCGCUGGAUGAUAUUCAGGUCAAUGAGCGUCUAAAUUACGUGGAGAGGCCUAUGGCCAUCUUGGAGAAGAAGAAGAUUUUACGGAACAAAGAAAUACCUUUGGUAAAGGUGCAGUGGGAACAUCGGAGGGGAUCCGAGUGGACAUGGGAACCGGAGGCAGAGAUGUGUGAGCAUUACCCGACAUUGUUAACUCCAGCAGACUUCGAGGGCGAUGUCUAUAUCAAGUGGGGGAGAAUUGUAAUGCCCUGAUUCGCAGGUAUUGAUUUGAAUGAAAGUUUAUUUGGUUUUAAGAUCUACUCGACGAGUUGCUUUCCCUACUCGUCGAGUAACAACGGGGUGGGAUCGUGUGUCUAGUGGCCUACUUGCCGAGUCCAAGAAGGGACUCGACGAGUAGGAGUUGGCAGAUGAAACCCUAAAUCCCGGGGUUUUGCACCCUAUUUAAAGAAGCACAAGCCUCUUUCAGCCUCUUUACAGUCCCUUGAGAGCUUAGCAAAACCCUAAUAUAUGUGUGCGUGUGUGUGCCCAUUCUGUGUUUGAAGCUUUGGAAGAGGAUUGUUGGUGAGAAUAGCUUAGGGAAACAAGUGUAUUGAAGCAAGGAACUCGGGGGAAAUCAAGAUCUACUUUAGUUGGCAUCUUUUGGGAAGGUAUUAAGUUGUUAUCUUAAUCCCAUUUCGUUCUAGACCUACUUGGAUGGAGUUUAGGGUGUCUUGGUUUGGUCAUGGAGCUAUUUCUGGGGUAUAAGCUCAUAUUUGAAGUUGUAACUUCAAAUCUGAACUCUCUGUGAAUUGUAAGACCAUAAAGCUUUCAGUCUUGGCAAGUACGAACCCCUUCCUAAGUGUAAAACCCCAUUUCAAGCUUAUUUUUGGCACUUUGAGUCAAUAGAGCCUUGCAUGCACGUAAAGUUUGCAACUUUAUGUGAUAAGCAUGCUUAAGGAAGUUGGAUCUGCAAUUUGGGGCCUUUCCAUGGCUUAAAAAGUGUAUGCAUGGUGAAAUGACUGAAGGGACUCGGCGAGUCGCAUAGUCGACUCAGCGAGUCAUAUGAAGAUAUGCAUUGAACUCGACGAGUUGGAUGAACAACUCGGCGAGUCUGAUGAAGAUUGUCGUAGACUCGACGAGCUGAAUGAACAACUCAGCGAGUCAGUUAAGGUUUCCCAGUUGAUGAAUGCGUGUGAACUUGUCGAGUUGCAAGAAGGAAAACUCGACGAGUGGCCUUAGAGCUUCGAUCGAGAACCUUAGCAACUCGAUAAGUCACCCCGGUGACUCAUCGAGUUGCUAUUGUUAUGGUAUGCUACAUGUGGUUAUGAUCUGGUAGAUCGGAAUUAGGAUAGACAGUAUGUUAUGCUCUUAUGAUCCGUAGGGAUUGGUAUGUCAGUGACCUGCGAGGUCGGUGCUCUAGUUACGAUAGAUUUCUAUGAUUGAUGAUCAGUGAGAUAGAUAUGUUGAUAUUUGUAUAUGCCAUUAUGUGAUAGAUAUGCGCACAUGGUUAUUUGAUUGUUGGUUGGGUUGAGGCGGUCCUGCUUUGUGUUGAAGGCCAACAUACCCUAUGAGCGGUCUGGGGAGACUGUAGGCCGACGUGGCGAACCAAUCAUGUCGAAGGCUUGGGAUAGGAUCAGGUAGACUGUAGGCCCUGCAGGGGGGUCCAUUCAGGCCGAUGGCCAGUAUGAAUGUUAUUGAUUGUCUGUUACUGACAUGGUAUUAUCAGUGUGGUAUUGGUAUUUUGGAGGUAGCUCACUAAGCCCUCAGGCUUACAUUUUCAGUUUAUUGUUUCAGUUACUUCAGGAGAUCAUGGAAAGGUGAAUGUGUGACCGUACCGCUCCUCAUCCUUUUGAUCUAGUUAUUGGGACACUCUGAUGAAUAAUGAUUUGAAAAUAUGUUGUAAACAAAUACUAUUUGGUUUUAUUUAUGAUUGGAAAAGUUUAAAUUUGGCGCAAAUUUUUGGAUGUUACAAACACUCUAAAUUUUCAAACAAAAUUUUCAUUUUUAAUUCACUUAAAAUCAGUAUCACAUCUUCUCAAAACCACAGUGUAUCAAAUGUCAAAAACACAAAUCAACAAAACAACUUAUAAUAUCCCAAAAUCCUCGACAUAGUCUCGAACAGGUGUGUACAAUGAAUUCGGCGUCUUCUCGCGAUCUUGAGAAGUACCUGAAAGACAUAUCACACAACACGGUAAGCACGAAGCUUAAUGAGUUCUCCAAAAUACCACAUACACAAAUAAUAAGCCUCUCAUGGCUAUAGCUCGGCAUGGACCCUCCGUCCAUGCGUCUCGGUGAGGACCCUCUGGUUUCACGGCUCGGUGUGGACCCCCCGGUCAUGUGUCUUAGUGAAGACCCUCCAGUCUCACAGCUCGGGUUGGACCCUCCAGUCAUGUAUCUCAGUGAAGACCCUUCAGUCUCACAACUCGGUUCGGACCCUCUGGUCCUGCUCAGUAAAUCACAUAAUAAUAUAGCAUAUAUAACAAAGACAAAAUGCAUAAUAUCACAUAACUCAGUAUAAGCACAUAGGACCCUCCGGUCGAUAACUCAAAUAAGACCCUCCGGUCACACAAUAUUACCACUCAGGUAAUUAUAGUGAGAAGACUCACCUCGUAAGUAAGCAAGUAGAUCUAGUACCCCACGGACAGUUUAGACUCCGCCUACAUAAUAUAGUUAUCUCUAAUAAGCAAUUUGUAAUAACCACUUCGAGAUGCUAAGCUAAUCCCCUCCACUAAAUCUCAAAAAAGGUGAAAAUAUCAUUUUACCCCGCAUACUCCUCAUACGCCCAGCGUACGAGGCCUCGCGCUCCUGAUCCUUCCUAUGCAGUACACUAAGCGUACACCACAUUACACCUCGCGUACCACCCUUCACACCAGUACGCCCCGCGCACUAUGGUCUCCUCUUAAACCCUAAAGCACUCCGAACACCAUAACUUCUUCAUUAUAAAUCUGAAUCCGACGAUCCUUAUAUCCAUGAAAAGGUAAUGAGAUGCUCUACGCUUUAAUCAACUCAUACUUUUCUUACAAUUUCCCAAACAAACAUCUAAUUUCCAUAAAAGCCCGAGCUGACAUAUUACCAAAAUACCCUUUGGCACCAAAACACAAACUGAAAAACCGGAUCAUCUAAAUUACAUCAUCCACCUCCAAAUGAGUCUAACUCUCAGUUCUUCAAGGGUCCUAAGUCUGCUAAUACCCACUCCUUGAUCACCACCCGAAAUGGGAAAUGAUUCGAAACAGGGCAUUACACACACACUCUCAAGGGUUAGGGUUUGCAAAAACGUCCCAAGGAGAGUGAAGGUUGAAGAGGUUAGGUAAAUACGAUUAUAAGGAUGAUUAUAUAGGGGCUUAACCCUAAAAUUUAGGGUUUCUACACCUGGAGAGUACGCCUAACAUACUAGGGCAUGCACUAGUACGCUAAGUGUACGCACGUACGCAUGGCGUACUCCCAUUCUUCCAAAUUUACAAUUUUGCCACUAGGGCCUACAAUGGACACAUUCACUUGGACUUAGGGACCAAAAAUGUCACAAACAAAAAUUAUAGGAAUGAAUUUAGAAGUACCUUAACAUCGGGAUGUUACAGAUAAUGUUUUUUCAGGUCCCAUUUUCACCUAUCUCCCUCGGUUUGUGCUUAAACACAUUAAACCCCAUAUAAAAUUUGCAGCAACUUGACUUCCUUUUAGAAAACCCAUGUGGGGUUUUCAAUAUCUCCUUCUUGUCACUUAAUUUUUUUUCCAGAAAUCAGGAAACAUGGUUUUUGCGGGUUUCUUUUCUUUUCCAAAAUUUUAAUAUGAAAUUCAUGUAUCUUUGAUUUCUUUGUUGUUGGUUUUCUUUGUUUCCAAUUUGUUUGUACUUUGAAUUGAAUCUAAUAUGGGUCAUGAACUUCUCUUCAACAGUCUUAAUUGAAGAAUUGUGAUUCUGAGUCUAGAUCAUACCCAUGUGAAAAACGAUUGGGAACAAUAAAGAAAUCAAAAAAUUUGCCUAAUGAUUUCGAUUCACUAAUUUAAGCCCUUAAUACUUAGAGGUCAUGAUAAUAAAUCUCAUUAUUUACACUACUUUUUAGUAUUUUAGGCUUGAAAAUCCUGACUCUGAAGAGGUGAAAGAAUUUGUAAAAAAAAGCAAGUGAAUUUGACUGAAUAUGUGCUUAAGAAGUGUAAGACAAGGGUCUGAAAGGUGAAAGAAUUUGUAAAAAAGCAAGUGGAUUUGACUGAAUAUGUGCUUAAGAAGUGUGAGACAAGGGAAAACUUCAUGAUAAGCUUACUAAGUUCUAUGACUACCCUAAGUUUAGUGCUCCAUUUAGAGAAGCUGAUAAAUGCUUUUACUUGCAUAACAAUGGCCUUCAACCACAUAAAGUCCUCUCCAUGCAGGUAUACUAUGGUAAUAAUGUAAUUCAAACACCAUGAUUAGAAAUCUUAUUUACCUUAGCUUAUUAUUCUUGUUUUUGUAGGAUAGUUUAGAGGGAGUGGUAGAAGUUCUUCUUAAUCUAAUUGGACUAAGUGAAGAUAGAACUGUGUCAUUGAAUACUUAUGAUGUUAGUGAGGAUGCUAAGUACUUGGCUUAUGCUCUCAGUUCCAGUGGAAGUGAUUAGGUCACUAUUAAAGUAAUGCAGGUUAAGGACAAGAAAGUGGAGCCUGAUACAUUAUCAUGGGUCAAAAUUUUGGGUAUUAGUUGGUCAAAUGAUAACAAAGGUUACUUUUACAGCCAUUACCCUGCUCCCAAGUAAGUUCAAAUGACAUCUGAUAUGGUUUUAAUUAAACAUGUUUAUAAUUUAAAGUAGAUUAGGUUUAAAAUAAAAAAAAUAUUUCUUCAUAUAGCUUCAUUUAUUUAAAUCUAGUCACAUAAUAGCAUUAGUAUUCAUGGAAUGAAAGACUCAAAACAUACCAGAGGCCAUGAAAUGUGGAACUUUGAAGACACUAUGCUGAAACUUUUUGACUUUUGAUGCAAAGAUAAAGAUCCCUGUGAUUAUAUUGUAAGUAACAUGUAUUUAAUAUAUUACAGAAAAAACAUUUUUUGUUCGUACGUUGGUUUAGUGUUUUCACCCAUUUUUAUAAUCCAACAUGCUACUAAGAUAGCAUUUGGAGUGAUGGAAUCGAGGAAGGAAUGUAAAGAAAAAAAUAGAUUGUUUGCCCAUUGGAAUGGAAUUGGUCUUUCUUUCCUCAUCAGGGCAUAUGCUUUUUAAGGUCAUCAUGUAAUGUAAUGCAAAUUUCCAAUAUGUCUAGAUAUUAGUUAAUGUUCAAUUUUUUGUUUCUAAAAGUAACUAAUAACUUAUUAUUUUAUAAUCUUAUUUUGGUUUUAAUAUACUUUUAUUAUGCUUGAUUUGUAGCAUACCCUUGUUCAUGGGAGUGAACAAAAAGUAUGGUGUUCAAGCUUCAAAGGAGUUGAGCUGUUUGUAGAUUAGUGGACCUUUACUCCUUGCUCUUUAUAUCAAGAUGAUCCUCUAUGUUUUCAACUUCAAUAAAUUGCUCAAAUUGGUAAACAAAUUUGCACAUGGAAAAGAAUCCAUACGAAAUGAAGAAACCGGUAAUUUCACUGAUGUCAACAUAAAGGAUUUUGUAACAACAUAAAUUUUCAAAACAAUUUUUUAUUUAAUAUAAAACAUAAGUCAUGAUAAAAUCUCAAAACUCAAAGUAUCAUAUAACAUCUCGGUAAAUACAUCCCAGAAUCUCAAGUACAUAAAAACUUCUUCAGUGUGUACGGAUCAUGCAGACACCUUUCCACGAUCCUCACUGGUACCUGAAACACAUAUCACAUAAAACGGUAAGCAUAAAUACUUAGUGAGUUUCCCAAUAUACCACAUAUAAGACAUACGCCACUCAAGGCCAUAUCUCUAUGGGACCUUCCGGUCCAUGUGUCUCAGGGGACUUACGUCCCAACCCUGGUAGACCUUCCAGUCCUACUCAUAAUAACCUUUCGGUCCUCCUCAUCGACCUUCCGGUCCGUAUCAUCUUGACCUUCCGGUCCAUACAUUGUUGACCUUCCGGUCCAUAUCAUGAUGACCUUCCGGUCCAUAGCAUACUACUCAUAACAUAUCCUAACACAUGCAUCUCACAUAUCAACAUAUAUCGCAUACUCGUCAUAACACAUAAGACCUUCCGAUCACACCUAAUUACCACUCUAGGUAACAUAUAGUGAGAAGACUCACCUCGUAUGUUGUCUAGUAACUCAUGUGCUCGGUAUCCCUGAACCUCGUAACAAUGACCUAGCCCCGCCUAAACAUAUAAAAUAAUCAUCUCUAAUCAAUAACGACUCCCAAGGCUAGACUAGUCCCUUCCUAUGUUCUCUCAGAAGGCUAAAAUACCAUUUUACCCUUCUAAUGGUCCAAAAGUCCAAAUAUUGACCAAACCCUAAAAGUCAACGGGGGCAGUACGCGGUGCCUACCAGCUCUUGUACGCGGGGCGUACUUUGGCGAUCCAAAAUCGGGGUCUCAAACCAUUACGCGGUGCGUACUGAGAUUUACGCCCAACAUAAGUCUCAGUUUCAUGCUCUUAUGGAUUUUUCAUCUUAAACGGUUAAGACAUAAGCUCAAAUUCCAGAUCUGACUAUUCUAAGGUCACUUAAUCCAUAAAGUCGAAACCUUUAAGCCAUUGCAUGGCUGUAAAGGUCAACAAUCACUUUAAACACCUUUCCUCUUUCCUCAUUAAGCCUAUAUCUCAUGCAUGACUUAAUAUUCACGUCCAAGAUUGGAUUUUUAUGAACCUACAACACAUAUUACAUCGGAAUAGGGCAGAUCUAAGCUUAUGGAGACCCUUUGCUCAUAAAGUCUCCACCUUGGAACCAAAAACCCUAAAAAUGGGUCCAUAAAGCAUAAAUCAAGAAUGGCACAGAAAGCUUUGAGCUUUUUACCUCCAAAUGAAGCUCCAACCUCUGUAGAACUCGGAUCUAAGUUUGUCCUCCAACUUCUAGCUCCUACAAUGGCCUCCUCAUCUCUUUCACCGCCUCAAAAUGGCACUUUCCAGCUUAACAACACACACACAAGCUUAUAACGGGUUUUUGCUCUCUUAGGGUUUCACUCACUAUAAUAUGGUGGCUGGGGUAAGGGCCUUAUCAUUCCUUAUAUAGUCCUCAAGUAUCAUUUAGGGUUUUGCAUCUGAGCCAGUUACGCCCAGCAUACCUCGAUGAGUCCGCGCCCAUAAUAAGUGCAUGAGUACGCGCAACGUACUCUUCCGUAUGCCCAGCAUACUCAUUUGCAGCAUUUUCCACUCAAGGGUUAAACUUGACAACUUGGCAAAGAAGAAGGGUUAAAUAGAUGUACCUGAAUUUCGGGAUGUUACAGAUUUUUUGAAACACUUAUAAUUAUAAAGUGGUGAUUUUAAAAAAUUCCGACCCGUGCAACGCACGGGCCUCUUUACUAGUUUAUAAUUAAAGGAAACGAUAAAAACAAAUAUAAAAUUUAACGCAAUAAGUAAUCUCCCAGAUGCCACUAUAAUUUAUAAUUUGUUGGUGAUUUUAGUGUUGUCAACAUAUUUUAGUUUAGUUAUUAUUAAUAAUGAGAUAGGUUGAGCUCUAUUGACUAAUCGAGACAGGAGGUGCAGGGUGCACACUCGGAGUGAUAAAUGUGAACUUAAGAACAUGGGGUUCCAUGGGCAGCACCCCUAGGUGCAAGGUUCCUAAGGGCAGUGCCCCUUACGGGAUCAACAGGCAACACCCCGAAACCUAAACGUAUUUUUAUAUCAAGAAGGACUCGAACCAUGCAUUUCCUGCCAAAAUAAGGUGUGACAUUAUGAUGAUGUCAUAAAGUAGUUAUGUCUUGUAACCAAUCCUUUAUGGUGCCAAAAUGCAUGUAACGAACUUUCAACCAAUUUCUAUCGUCUUUUUAAGGAUGAUUGAAGUUCCAAAAAUUCGGUUGGAACUUGGAUACUCUCGAAAAUCAUACUUCUGAUUCGAUCUAUCUCUUCUAAAUUUGUGCUUCACAUUUAGAAGUGGUAUGACUUAUAAAUUGUCAUUCUUUGGAUUAUCCUAAAUCUGAUUUUGUGAUACCCCAUACUAUAAUCAGGUAUUUUGGAAAGUGAUUGCAAUCACAAUACUAGAAAUAUACAAGUAUAUUGGUAUUUUUCAGACCCCAAAAUCUAACAUUCAAAAUCUGUGAUUUAUAAAGAAUAUCAAUGACAAAAUUUGUUAAAGACAUGACUUCCAAAUUCAGGAAGUUGGAUAUGUUUAAAAGCACUGAUUUUCAUCGUUGGCAAAAGAAGAUGCAUUUUCUUCUUACUACACUGAAAAUUGUUCACAUUUUAAGCACUCUGGCACCAGAAGCCCAAGAGAAUGAAAUAUUGGAACACACCAGAAAACGCUAUAAAUGGGGGAAUGAUGAUUACAUCUGUCGUGGACACAUUCUGAAUGGUAUUUCUUACUCUUUCUUUGAUAUCUAUCAAAAUCAUGAAUCUUCAAAAGAUCUGUAGGAUGCCUUGAAUCCAAAUACGUGGCAGAGGAUGCUUUAAGUAAGAAAUUAAUUGUUAAUAAUUUUAACAAUUACAUGAUGGUGGAUUCAAGGCCUAUCAUGGAAUAGUACAAUGAACUCAUUAGGAUUCUAGGACAAUUUGAACAACACAAGAUGCAAAUAGAUGAAUCCAUUUUUGUCUCAAGUGUUAUUGACAAAUUACCCCCAUCCUGGAUCUUCUAUGAACAUGGGGGAAGAUGACAAACAUCAGAAAAAUAACAAAGGAAAAAGGAAGAAGAAAGACGACAAUCAUAAGGGUUCAAACAAGAAAGCAUAACUUGCAUGGCAGAAUUGUAACAAACCCGAUCACGUGAAGCGAGAUUGUCGUUUGAAGAAGAAAAAAGUAGAGCAAGCAUUUAUGGACAAGGAUCAAAUGAUCACGGUCCAAAACCACAAGGUCAUAAUUUUAUUUCUAGAAAAUUUACUGUUGUUAUAUAUCAUGUAACACUUAUUCUUGGAUCAUUUUAUGUUCAAGAUGAUGAUCAUGCAUGGUGGAUAGACUCGAGGGCGACAAAUCAUGUAUGUAAAUAUCGUUCUUGGUUUAAGGAUUAUGAAGUAGUGGAUAUAUAAUGUCCCCAUUUUCCAACCCAAAAUUUUCAUUUUUAUUUGUUAAAUAUAUCAAAGUAUAAUUAUAUUUUAUGGAAACAUGUUGUGAAUAUGCGUGUGUAUAGUACAUAUACAAUACAUACACAUAAUGAUCUUCAACAUAAAGUUGGUCCACCUUUGGCCAUCAGCAUGAAGCUGGUCCGCCCCUUUUUGCCUCCAGCAUAAAAUUGGUCCGCUAUUUGGCCUUUAGCAUAAAGAUGGUCCGUCUGAGUCUAUUGGCCUUCAACUCGAGGCUGGACCACCCUCAGCAUAAAUAUAGAACCAUAUGAUUUUAUGUUUUAGACUCGUCAUUGCUUUUAUUAACUACCGGAUAACAUAAAAAACUAGUUUAUAAGCUAUUUUAAUAGUUUUAAUAAAACACUACUAAGCUUAAAUAUAAGCUAGACACAAUCCAAAUUUAUUUUUGCUUGUAGUACGGUCAUCUAUUUUUUUUUUAUAUGAAAAGAUGUUCAAAAAUUAUUUUAACUGUGUUUCAAUAAAUAAGUUUUGAAACACAAAGGAUUGGUGAAUACUUAAUUUUUUUUUUAAUACCAUAUAUUUAUACAAAACUCAGGCCUAUGAUGUCCCACCUCCCCAUGUUUUAAUUUGCAACACUACCUUGUCGUUGUUUUUGUAAGAAUAGCUACCAUUUGUUUUACCCAAUAUACUCACGUCUCUAAAACACUUUCCGUCUUAAUAACGGAUGACUACGUGAUCUUUUUGUCAACUGUCAACAAGGUCGGUCUGUUGUUUUUUACUACCCAGGACAAAAUAAGAAAUUUAUGCCCUUAUAUAUACCAUACGAUAAAGAAAACUUGUCUAUAAAAUAUUUAUAAAAUAAAAAAUGCAGUAAAUAUUAUAAUCAAACAAAUAGUAGAAUAAAAAACCUACAAAAAUCACCUAAAAUGACGUCUGUAUGUACUUUUUUGAAGCUAAAACAUCUCUUAUUUUACAAUAAUUAAUAUUUUGAAAAAAAUCACUUUCAAUACUUAAAAAUGCUAAUAUAUUCAAUCUUUUCUUGAGUCAUGGUAAAUAUACAAUUUCAAGACCUUCAAUUUUGAAAAAUUUCCUUCCGCGGAAGCAACCAUAACCUGCACAAUCAACAAUAUCAUAUACACAACCAAAACAUUAGUGAACAUAUAUAUUAUUCUUGCAUACUCCACUCUUCUUGUUCUCUUUUUGUUUUCUAUUUUGAGCAGCACCUUAUGGUUGUUUUCAGAGAAACAUAUAUAUAACUCAAAAAAUCUAAUUAUAAAAUUUAAGCAACAAAAAGAUACAACAUGUCCAAAGUUUAUGUUUUCCCCUUUCAAGAUGUCAAGAGAUCUGAAAAAUAAACCAGAUAAUAAAAAAUAAGAAUCUAUUUUUCAAAACUAUUAUAUAUUAUAACAAUGGAAUACAUUUAUACCUUUUUGCUACUCACUAAAAGUAUAGAUAGUAAAAAAACAGAAAUAAGAACUCAUAUGUUCAAUAAAUAAUUAAACUUCUUUCUGCUUCCUGAUUCAAAUAAAAAACAAGAACACAAAAGGUUAGAAGACAAAUUAAAAAAAAAUGAUGAGAAGGCAUAGAUUUUGGUUUAAACAUUGGAGAAAUUUUUAACUUUCAACUACGUCUAAAAGUCAAGCAAGAUAGUAAAAAAGACAUAAAUCAGAACUCAGAAGUUCAAAAGAUAAUUAAAUGUCUUUCCUCCUCCUCAUUCACAUCAAAAAACAAGAACACAACGGUUUACAAGACAAAUUAAAAAAAAAAAAAAACAAAAAACAAAAAACAAAAAAAAACAAACAAACAAACGAGAAUGCAACAAUUUUUUUUACCUAAAUUAGAUACAAACCAACAACAGCUUGACUUAGAAUCUAAAGCUCAAACACAGGAAUCAAAUACAAAACAACAACAUAUUUUUGCUUCAACUAAUCAUAUAGUAUUUGGGAGUUUAACACUUUUAACUGAACUCGAAUUCAACAUGUAAAGAUAAAAAAAAUUGACCCAAAUAAAAGAAAAGAAUCCAUAAAUCAGAAACAAUUAACAAAAUAUGAAGUUAAGAAAAAAAUAAAAAAAGUACUCCCUGAAGAGUGAAGAGAUUCAUUCAUUCGGAUAUCAAAAAAAUCCAAUACGUGACGCUCUGUUGUAAUGCCUAAUCGGAACUCGGAACCCAGAUUGCGAGAUUGAAACUUGAAAAAAAUCAAACUCUGAGAGCAGGUGAUGCUCGAUUGAAUGCACAAAAGGUUUAGAGAGAUCGAGAGAAAAGAAAUCAGAUAUCUAUUUGAUUUAGAAUGCGAAAUUGAGAAUAGAAUUCAUAUACCGAUUUACUGAUUUAGAAUUUGACUCCUCGAUCCCAACAUAUCGCUCAACGAUUUUCAGUUUUCAAGGGUGUUACCGAUUACCGAUUUUGACGAUUGAAAAUCUCAAGAACUUUGAUUAUUUGUUGGAGGCUUUCAGUGAAAUUAUGCCCCAGUACGUUGAUUUCUUCGUGAGCACAACUCACAAAUGGACUGAACUUCCAACAUAGUAUAGUAUAUAGU